UGAUCAUAAAUUAUUACUCUUAAGAGAAUACAGCCCUUCGUACUCAUAAGUUAUUUUUGAUGAUGGAGCUUCUGAAUUUACGAUCUAGUUCGUUAAAUAUGAUCUAGAGUAUUUGCAACUUCUAGAAAAUAAAUUUCGUAAUUUUUCGAAAUCAUAAUAAAGUCCAUCAAGCGGGAAUAAAAUGAACGGUCAAAAUCGAACGGCAUCCUAAACUGAAUAAUCAGAUCCUUUAAUUUAAUAUCGGAGUUAUUGAUCUUUAUUUAGGUAGUGAAUAUAAUUUUCUAUCAAAAUUUCAACCUAUUCCAAUUCUUUUUAUAUGGUUAAACUAGCAAGUAUUUCAUGCCGGCCGUUAAAAAUUGUCAAUUUUGUAACCUUUUGAUCGUAAGAUAAAUGAUGUCGAAAAAUUAUAAAAUUUGAUUUUUAGAAGUUUUAAAUGCUUUAAAUAAUGUUUAACAGUAUGGAUCGUUGAUUCAGAAACUCUAUCAUCGAAAACGACUUAUGAGUAUGAAGAUAAUCGUACUCAUAAGAAUAUAGUAGCCAGACUCUCUCUCUCUCUCUCUCUAUAUAUAGAGAAAGAGAAUCUGACUACAAUGCUAUUGAUAGCAACACUUGGUGCUAUCAAGUUUUCUACCAUUAGAUUAAUUUUAGGGAACCACUAUCAUCCUAAUCGUACAUUGCUUCAUUCAAAGGCCAAAAACUUAAUGGCACCAAUAACAUAGUGCUAAAAACUCCAAAAUAAACACACAUAUACACGCGCAAGCGCGCGCGCGCGCGCGCACACACACACACACACAUAUAUAUAUAUAUAUAUAUAUAUAUAUAGAGUAGGGCUAGAAUACUUUUACAAGUAUCACCCAAGUGAUACUUGUGUGUUUUUAGCCAUUAGAUCUACUUUUUGAUUACUAAUAGUUCUUGGAUCAAACACUAUUCCACCUACCACCACCUACCACCAUCAUCUCAACCUCACAUCUCUCCAUCCAAGGGUUAAAAACACACAAGUAUCACUUGGGUGAUAUUUUUACAAGUAUUCUAGCUCUACUCUAUAUAUAUAUAUAUAUAUAUAUAUAUAUACAAUUUCUUCACUAGAAAAGGAGCACACAAAAGUUUAUUGGGUUAAAUAUUUAGGCACAGAUGUUUCAAAACAUUCACUGUUUAUCAGUUUGUCCACUUUCAAAAGUAACGUACCUGAGAGUUCGGCUACUAUACUCUUAUGAGUACGAUCACCUUCGUACUCAUAAGUCGUUUUCAAUGAUAGAGUUUCCGAAUCGACAAUCUAUAUCGUUAAACAUUAUCUAAAACAUUUAAAACUUCUAGAAAUCAAAUUUUAUAAUUUUUUUGACAUCAUUUACCUUACGAUCAAAAGAUCACAAAAUUGACAAUUUUUAACGGCCGGUAUGGAAUGCUUGGUAGUUUAACGGUGUAAAUAAUCGGAAUAUGUUGAAAUUUUUAUAGAAAAUUUUAUUCAUUACUUAGAUAAAGAUCAAUAACUCUGAUUUUAAAUUGAAUGAUCCGAUCGUCUAUUUUUAGGACGUCGUUCGAUUUUGACCGUUCAUUUUAUACCCACUUGAUGGACUUUAUUAUGAUUUUGAAAAAUUACGAAAUUUAUUUUCUAGAAGUUUGAAAUACCCUAGAUCAUAUUUAACGGAAUGGAUUGUCGAUUCGGAAGCUCCAUCAUCGAAAACAACUUAUGAAUAUAAAGAACUCUAUACUCAUAAGAGUAUAGUAGCCCUACUCCUUACAUGAUGUAAAUAAGACUUAAUUACACCAACCACACUUUGCCUUACGGGUUUUUUUUUUUUUUUUCCUAUAUUGUAUUAUUUUUUAUCAAAGACACCACUCAAUUAUUCUGUUUUUCAAUUCUUUAAACUAUAAGCAAUAAACCUAUCAAUUUGGAUGAAAAAUACUAAAAAAUACUGAUCGAAAGUGAUACAACAUGUAUUUAGCUCAUUUUAAUAUGAAAAACAACAGAGUACAUAUAGAUAAAAAAAAUAGUUAAAAGUAACUUGAUAGAAGAUUUUAGCGAGUUAUCAUAAAAAUUUAUUUUAUAUUUUUUCUACUAUUUAGCCUGCGCAUUUUUAAUGAAUUUGUUGGAUUCUUUUCUAAAUUUAUAGGUUUAUUAACGGUCAUAUAGAGUUUAGCGAGAAAAAGAAAUAGUUGCAUAAUAUUUAUGAGAAAAGAAUAGUCCAAGAUAGAAAAGAAAAAAAAUAAUCUAAAAUAUUGUGUGGAGAUUGAUAAAAUAUAUUAUACGAUGGUGUCUUUCAAAAACAAAAAAAAAAAAAGUAACUAAUGUAGCAGAUGAAAAUAAGAGUAAAGUACAUUGUAGUAGGAUGUAUUAACCCUAUAAUAACUUCUUAUCCAUGUAAGCAUUUGUUCAUGCAAAUUUAAAAAAGAUUAAUUACUAAGCAAAUGUGGUGCUUAAUUAAUGUUUCAGAUGCAUUAGCAAAUAUGAUAUACAUGCAGAAGGGGCAUAUAUUGGCUUGGCACUACCAGGAGAACCAGGAUCAUGGCAAAGAGAAAGAAAGGUAAAAGAAAAAAAAACAACAACAACUAUGCAGUUUCAAUUUUACACUUUAAUCCUCAAAAAUAAAGAAAAAUAUGUUUGUGCAAAACUAAUCUGAACUAUAUCGUAUUUCUGAAGUAUAUAAAAAGAACCGUAAAAAACUUCGAUUUUACUACCUGAUCUUAUAGUGUUUUUGAAAUAAAAACCUAAAUUUUAAAAGUUUUGAUUUUUUUACUAUCCUAUCUUUCUAAUAUUUGUAACAUUUCGACGGACUAUCUUAUAAGAAGCAUUACAUCUAUUUUAGCGCACAAGGAAGUAAAAUCAAAACUUUUAAAGUUUUAAGUAUCUUAUUUAAAAACCCUAAAAGGGGUUGUAAGUAGAGAGGAAAAAAAAAAAAACACAAAGACCGCCCGAACUUCAGCUCUUUUGCUAAAAGGUGCUAGUUUUCAGCUUUAAAAAAUUAGACCCCUAAUCUCCAUCAAAUAGUUUAAUAAGCUCCGUCUCUUCAAUCAAAAUCACUAAUACAUACAUAGCCGUUUUAGUUGCAUGUCGUGCACACAAUCUUAUAAGAUUUGGAAAUAUAAAAUAUUUUUGAAGCUUAUAUAAGAUUGUAUGCGAACAAAACAACGGUGCAAUUAGUAAGUUUGGUUGAAGAGAGUGGAUUAUUGAACUAUUUAAUAAAGUUUAUGGUCCAAUUGCGAAAUCAGAAGUUUGGGCAUCUGUUUGAAAAUUAGUCAAAGUUCAGGGUGUCUUUGUUCAUUUUUUUUCUUUAAAAUUUCAUAUAGUCCAGGAAGGAAAGGCCUAUACAAUUUUACAGAAAAAAAACAACCUUAUAUUUUAUUAUAUUUACAGGGAUAUCAGUUUUGGACCAGAAGUAAUCCCAGAGGUGAUUUUGUUAUCAAGAACAUUCGACCCGGACGCUACAAUCUUUACGCAUGGGUCCCUGGAUUUAUUGGUGAUUUCAUGCACAAGUCCACAAUAACUGUUAAUCCAGGUUAAUUUCUAUAGUUUCAUUCUGAUCCUUAAACUUUUUUAAGUUCAAAUAUUCAAAAUUCUGAACUUUUAGAACAGUAUCAUUUUAGUCCUUGCCUUGUUUGCACCUAGUUCAUUUGUAUGUUCAUAAACUACGAAUCUAUUGAUUCUUACUCCAACCAUCUUAAUUUAGAUUUUCAAUUUAAUGAUUUAAUUUCUAAAAAAAUAAAAAAAGACUAUAAUUCAAUAGACAAUAAUUUUUUUUUUUUAAUUAAUUUCCAUGAACAAGAAUAAGACUGAAGUGAAAUAAUUUUAAGAGUUUAGAGUCUCAAAGAUCAAUUAUUUAUAAAGCUCAGGAACUAGUUGUGCGACUUUACGCAUUAAAUAAGAAAACCUCUGACACUGGCUUAACCAACUGUCCUUAGAGCAAGUAGUAAAAGACUUGAUAGUUGGUACCCAAGGUCCCAAGUUAGUAACCUAGUUACUUUAUAUUUUUAGUUAAGUUUAUUUGAAAAGAAAUAAGCGAAGGGGUAGCAUGCUACCUUUCUCUUUCAAAAAAAAUUAUGACACGGUUGACACUUUGAUUUUUAAACUUCAAUUUGUUAUAAUUUUUUUGCGCAAAAUUUUAAAAUUACUGUAAUCAAAUCUUAUAGCUUAGUUUGGUUGACUAACUUUUAAUAUAUCUCCAACGUAAAAAUAAUAUAACAAUAUUGUAAUUAAUGAUGCGCCAAUAAUUUAAAAUGUUACAUUACUUUUAUAUCAGCGAUAUAUGCGUCAAUAUUUAUUUAACUAAAUUGGAUUGUGGGACCUGAUUGUAAAAAUUCUUAAAUUCGAGUAAAAGAUUAAUUAUAACAAUUAUUAAAGUUUCAGGACUAAAGUGUUGCCCGGCUUAUAAUUUGAGGACUAUGUAUAUGUACAUGCAAUUUGCCCUUUAUUUUUUUUUGAUAAUAAUAAUUAGGUGGAAGCAUCAAACUCGGAACGCUCGUAUUUGAACCUCCGAGAAGUGGGCCCACUCUGUGGGAAAUCGGCGUUCCGGACCGUUCGGCCGCCGAGUUCUUCGUUCCGGAUCCAAGGCCAGAAUACGUCAACAGGCUUUUCAUCAACCAUCCGGAAAAGUAAGUUCACAACUAGAGACCUUGCUAUUAAAGCAUAUUAUAAUCAAGUUGUUUAUAAAUUAGUGGUGUUUUACUUUUACCCCCAUAGUUUUAAUUUCGUUGGCGUUUUUUUUCGAGUGUUUUAAAUCAAUUUCAAAUUUGCCAGUUAGAGCGGUCUGACUAUGAUCCAACGUCUAGAGCUGUUCAAUUCAACUUAUAAGACUAGUUGACUUAACUAAAUAUAAGGGAUCUAAUAAUAAUCUUAACUAAAUAUAAGGUAUAUAUCAGGUUCUCUAAUAAUAAUAACUGGGUUUAAUCAUACUGCAAUAGCCAAUAGUCCCACAUCGAUAUAAGGAAUUAGGACCUUGUAAUAAUAACCGAAUUUUAACAUUUUGGGCUAGUAGUUUGGGACCUGCGAGUUAUCUUUACAAGUGGUUGGUACUGUUACAUUUGGAAACCAGACGAAAGUGGUUUGAGUCCAACGAGUUAUUAAUUUUUACUAGUGGUUCAGUUGGUUAUACUUGGUAUCAGAGUCGAAUACAUGCUGAAAGUGAUUUUGGCCAAACGAGUUAUUAUGCUAAUGGCUCGGACCUGUUACCUUUGGUAUAUAUCAUAGCUGAGUAUAUAUAUACUAGCUCAAAGUGUGAAAUCUAAGUGCUAUUCGGGAUAAAAAUACUACACCACAUCUCGAGAUAACUCUUGUUUAUGUGUGUGAUUGAGGCCCUAGUAUAUAAUAAUAAUAAUUAAUCUAAAGUAUUUUGGGCUGAUAAUUUAGGAUCUAUGAGUUAUUAGUACUAGUGAGUUGGACCGUUACACUAUCCAAUAAGUGAACUCAUGUCGUUCAUUCUAAAUUUUUUCAAACUGGUCAAAUAGAUUAAUAACGCCAUACAUGCGGCCUAAAACAAAUAAAAAACCUUGUACUUUAUAAUCUCUAAAAAACACUAAUCAAGUAUAUUAUAACCAUAUAGGAUACUGAGAUUAAUUAUGAAAUACAUUUCAUUUUGCACAACACAAUUAAAAUUAAUUACUCUAUCAUGUUGACGUCAUUGGUUCAAUCUAGUAACUAAAACCGCUAGUUGAAGCAACCCCAAUGUGAUAAUAUUAAUUUUUAAGUUAGAAUUAAUUUCAUACAGCUCCCUGUAAACAUAUCGAAUAGCAAAUAUAUUCCUACAAAGUUUAAUUUAUUGUAUUUAUUUCUAUAAAAGUUCAGUGAUAUUUAUAUUUUUUCCUCUAAUUUGUUAUCAUUAGAGUAUGGUUUAUUUCUUAAUAGAAAAUAAGUAAAAUAACAUUUUUGUCAUCACAAAUAUGUCCCUCUAAAAGUCUCAACUGUUAGAAUUAUAUAGAAAUGUUCUUUUAUAAAUUUUCAAUGAACAUUUUUUUUCUUUCUACUAUCACAAAUAAUAUCAGAGGAUAAAAAGGUCAAUUUAUUUUAUUUACUAACCAGGAUUAAGUAUUUUAUCUAUGAUUAACUAUAUUUUUAUAACAAAUCCUAAUAGAGAUAUAUUUGAAAACGUUAGAAUGGUUGAACUUUGUACGGAUAUAUCUGCUAUUCGAUAUGUUUACAGAAAGUUGUAUGCAAUUAAUCCUUUUAGUUAUUAUAAGUUUCGGAUUUUGAAACACUUUUUUUUUUACUUUUAUUUGACAGGUAUAGACAGUAUGGUUUAUGGGAGAGGUAUGCGGAUUUGUACCCGAAAGAAGAUCUUGUUUAUAAGGUCGGAGUUAGUGAUUACAAAAGAGAUUGGUUUUUCGCGCACGUUACAAGGUAAUAUACAUGAUUUUUAGGCUCUUUCUCUCUUCACAUAUCGUUAUUUAUCGAUCUCGAGCACAUUUUCGAGUACUUUGUGCUAUUUAAUUUGAAAGAUUUUCUGUGGAUAUAACAAGAUUUAGGUUUGUGGGUUCGAGUGUUUUUAUAACAAUGUUUUGUUGCAUGCAGGAAAGUAGGGAACUCUUUCGAACCAACAACAUGGAGGAUAAAAUUUAGCUUAAACUUUGUCGAAACUAGUAGGACAUAUACAUUGCGUUUGGCCAUCGCAGCUGCACAUUACGCUCGCUUAGAGGUUUGGAUCAUUUCCCUUUCGUUUAGCUUUCGCACGCUUUAGUCGCAUUAUUCACUUUGUUUCUACAUCAAGGUUCGAGUGAACAACCCGAAUGGAGAACCGCAUUUUACGACGGUAGCGUUCGGGGACGGCAACGCGAUUGCGAGGCAUGGAAUACAUGGCCUUCAGUGGAACUUUGAUGUAAGGAUAGAAGGGAGAUUGCUCUAUACGGGCGAGAAUACGAUCUAUCUAACUCAAGCCAAGGGAGGGCAUGUGUUUUAUGGUGUUAUGUACGAUUAUCUUCGAUUGGAAGGACCUUAAAUGUGUGGUUGCAAAAUAUAAACCUAAAAAUUACCAAAUUGCUUGCAAGAUCAUCGAGAAUGUAAUGUUUGCGAUUAUAUUACGCAUGCGAAUAAGUGAAAAAGCCCUAAAUCGGUCCGACUUGCACCAAGAAACUUCAACCCUAAGUCCGGUAAUUACUGAAAACUUCUAAAACAUGAUGUAGAAGGACCAUGCAUCAACCAUCCUUUUUUGCUCGUUGAGAAGCUUAAUUGGCUAGUAAGAUCUCCUCACUUGGAUAUUCUGUUCAUUUUUAUCGUUUAGUUAGUGAAGCUUCAACGCCCCAAGUUAUUAGGCGAGCAUUAAAAGCAAGCUGAGCGCGCGACCAGCUUAAGCUCGAUCUUUUCUGACCCAGAAGGAUCUAGACAGUCGAGUCUGGUUUGGAUCGAGACACAAGUCUGAAGGACAUAUCUAGUCGAUCUUAGGUCCAGAGAUUGUCAUAUUACUGAAAAAUUGUCACACCAAAGCUGCUUAGAUGAUUUCCUCUAAUUCUCCAUAUGAGCUUCUCUGAUGAAAAUUAUUUAUUGGCUGAUAAGGUUAGCCCUAGUUCACAUAAUUAACCAGGUUACAUCUACUAAAACCUUCUAAGUCUUUUUUUUCUCUUCUAUUUUUUUUUUUUUUUUUUUUUUUUUUUUGCAUAUACAUCAUUGCAUUUCUUCUGAUAGUACUGUUUACUGUUUAGAUAACAUAACCCUGAAAUGGAUACCAUCUGUUAGUCCUAACAAAUUAAUUGAUCCAAAUAUUAACAAGUGCAAUUAGCACCUCUAUCCAACAACAGGAAACCUAAUUUGUUCACUAGCUUAUACAACUGUGAAUUAUUAGAUGUUCAACAAUUUGAUGAGAAGUUAGAACUAAUGUUGCUAUCUUAGUUAUAAAAUAUGAAGUGGUUUUAGGAAAUUAUAGAAAAGGAUUACAAAUUGAAAAGCUAAAUACAAAUCUAUCAAAGAUAUAUAUUCUCCUUGAUACCUUCUUAGGAAGGAAGCUUACUAUUUGAAAUUAAGUGUAUAUAUAUAUAUAUAUAUAUAUAUCCAAUUGCAUUUGAGUUUAAUGACAUGUCAUUUUUGUAUCAAUUUUUACAGGUUAAAAACAUUAAUGGCAUGAUAGUCAAUUAAUACGACUUAUUUAAAUUCAUCCUUAUCAAAGUAGAGCUAUAAGCAAUUAUUAUAGUUUCUUCAUUUUCCACCGACAAGGCCACAUUCAUGAGUUAAUACUGGCAAAAAAAAGUCAUACUUAAUUUUUAGCAAAUAACUAGAUUUGUAUUCGUGCAACCAAACCUGAUAAUCUCUAUCCGUACAUGCCAGUAUCCACAGAUUAUUCAUAAAUUUAUGAAUACAGGCACUAGUUUUUUUGACCCAAAAAUUUAUGGGUAAUAAGAGAUAGAUAUAUGUUAAAUUAUGAAUAUUUUUUGAGAUCCACCGAUAACCGUGAGUACCCGCAUAUAUAUAUAUAUAUAUAUAUAUAUAUUAGAAGGCCCGCUUCAGGAAAACUAUCUUUUCUUAAAGGAUCAAUCCAAAACUCCUACCUAAUCUUUUCUUGGAGUUGAAGAAGCAGUCAAAAGAAAGAUUCUAUUAUUAAUCGUAAGAGGCUCCAUUUGAGUUUUUAUUCUAUUGCUAGUAGUAGGGUAAAAGGAUAAAAUAAGGGUAANUCCUAUUCAAUUGGUCAUUAUAAUCCUCUUGUCGUAAUGUAUAGCUAGGUGUUGCACAUAUCAACGUUUACUAAAUUUGCCUACGAAUUUUUCCUUGGAAACAAGUAUUUUGUCGAAUUAGUUCAAGGAAAAGGAUAGGCUUGAUUAUACUAUACUACACUAUAAUUUAUAGAUUUUUUUUUUUGUAUUUUCUUAGUUAUAAUUUGAAAGGGAAUAAUGAGGAUGACAACCGGAAGAGACGAUUAUCGAACUCGAACACGAGCCACGAACACUUCAAGAAAUAAACACGAGCAAAUACUCGUACAUGGGGAAAGCCUCGAGCCACGGGUUCAGCGCUUUCCAAAGAGUAGAUUUGCCCCCACACAAAGUUUGCUUCGGGUUAUGACAAAGAAUUCUCGGGAUAGAACGAGGCUAGAGAUACUCAAGAAGCAAAACUCGGAAUCUCUCACGCUCUUAACUCUGAAAUCUGGAAACUUUUUUAUGAUAUGAAUUUUGACACAAGAGCCUCUAUUUAUAUGUUUUCAAAAGGUACAUCCGAAUCGAAAAGUCAUGUCUCUUUGAACAGACAUGUCCCUACAAAGGAAUCCAUUCGUUUGAACAGACAUGUCCCUAUAAAAGAAUCCAUUCAUUUGAACAGACAUGUCUCUACGAAGGAAUCCAUUCGUUUAACACAUAAAUUUUACCAAGUAAUUUAUCAAAUACACAUCAUUAAAAUUUGCAAUCUAAUUUCUCAACAUGCAUAGGCGAGGGCCAGGGCGAGGGCGUGCGGGGCGAGGCGGGCUGUUUCCGCCUCCGCCUCCACUGCCUUCUUCGGAAAGAGAAAAAAAAGAAUGAGAAAAAAAAAAAGAGUUGAGAGAAAAAAUAAUAAUGGUAUUUUGGUCAGUUUGCUGAAAAUUCGGCCCGAAUUUAUAAAAUCGAAAAAAGUGGCCCACUUUUGCCAAAGCGCAAAAUUAGUGAAUUUUUUAUGCAAAUUGGCCCCCAAAAAAAGAUAUAAAGUAAACAAAAAGCUAAUAAUUUGUAGUGUCCCUAGUAUUCUGUAGCUCGAGGGUUUCAGCAUUUGAGGCUUGUUGACACAUCAGGAGAGUGCCGAGACAAGUCGGAGUCGUUUUGGACAAAUUGGAUGCAAAACGGACUUAGUGUGAUGCGAGAGCAGACUUUUGAUAUUGGAAUCUGUAAAGUGCAAGAUUUCAGUAUUGAGUACCGGUACCAGGGUGAGGAGUACCGGUACCCCAGUGGAAUUCCAGAACUGAUGCUCUCGGGUUGCGCCAAUCUGAUGCCGAGUACCGGUACUGCAUCAGGCUGGUACCGGUAUCCUGUGUGCGAGCUUGCGAGUUGAGAGGCCGAGUAUCGGUAACCAAAUUGGGUACCGGUACUCCAGCUGGAUUUCUGAGUUGGUAAGGAGCCUUUUGGUCAUUUGAGGCAUCGUUAAUCCCAACCUUAUCCCACCUCUUUAUAUAUGUAUGAGAGUCAGAGAAGAGGUAGUGGACGUCGCUUGUAGUAGAGUCGCGGCUCGAGCUCGGGUGGACUUCGACGUUGCGCCGGUGGACCGUGCGAGCGUGUGGGCGUCGUGGUUGCGCUGUUGGAGGCCGGGCGAGCGCGUGGUUUCCUCUCCUUUCGACUUCUCGCCGUAGUUGGACGAGCUCUUUGAGAUGGGUUAAUGUUUACCGAAAUUAUCGGAAUUCCUCCUAAGUUUUAGUAACGUCGACAUGUUCUAUUGGUUUUAUUUUCUUACUAGUACUCAAAUUCAUGGAUUAUAGCAUAAAAUCUGAAUUUGGAGUUAAGUUAGUAACUAUAUUCAUACUGGACUUGGAAUUGACUUAGGAGAAAACUAUUGAACCCUACGCUGUCACUUUUCUGAAAAUUACCAUAUUUAGCUUUAGAAGUUGUGAUUUAUUUGUAACGCCGCUGUUCGUAUGUGGUAGAUAUCCAGGUUAGUGUAGGAUGAGUUUACGCUCGUGCUGGUAUGUCGAACUUAUUUUACAGUAGUGUGUAGACUGUUUCAGACUGUCGGGUGCCGUCGCAGUUGACGGUAGACCCAGAUUUCUGUAUUUUGCAUCAGAUUGUCCCAAGGGUACGUGAGCUUUGGUUGUUAGACCAGUUAGAUCCAUUUGCAUUGAUUACAGCCUAUGAGAGGCUGAUUGAGCUCGAUAGAGAUACGCUUGUAUACUCGGUUGGGUCGCGUCCACGAGUGCCGCUCCGGAGUCUGGCUUUUUACUUUGCAUUUAUGUCGUUGUUGUCUGGUUUGGACUUACUCUCCACCGGCAGCCCUCGGGGUGGUGUUCGGUAUAGGUUCGAUAGGCGAGACGGGUGUAUUCACAGUCCCUAGUGAGAUUGAGUCAGAGAUCGCAUUGCAUUUAUCUACAGAUAGCUAGUCUUGGUUAGCGAUAGUAUAAUGGCAUAUAGCUGUAGGGUUUUCCAGCUUUCUUUACUAUCUCUUGCACACUUUUCUGUAGACUUAGUGGGUGAGCUGUUGAGGUCGGUGACGGUACCCACUAAAGAUUAUUCUAUUUUGCAGUAGUUCUCACACCCAGUUGUUGACCCAUUUUUGCAGAGCCUUCGUCCGCGGCUGCUGCUGUUGCUGAUUCUGACCGCGGGAAGGGAGUUGCGAGUUAGAUCCCUACCAUUCGUGUCGUUGUACUAGAGGAGGACCCUUCGCAGGUAGUUUGGGGUGUUUUUGGUUCAUGUACAUACUUAUAUUGGUUUACUCGCUAGAGCGAGGGUUGGUUGCAUCUCGGAAACUUUGUAUGUAUAGUGAACCUGUUAUUUUAUCUUUAUAUUCAGUUCAGUUUAGCAGCUCUAUACUACUAAUUGUGGUGUUGCUGUGAUUACAUGUGUAGCUAUUGUUUCGUAUACACAGGAAAUCUCUAUGUAUACGGAGGGCGGGUCUGUUGGCGUGCCCGGGGAAACGUAUUAAUCCGGAGCAUGACAUAAUUAUUUAGAGAAGAAUUGUAAAGGAAAAGAAAAGGCAUUCUUUAGCCCUGAGAAAAAGUUGUCUUUUCUUUUCUAUAUAAAGUAGCAUUGUUAUUCCAACAGGGUUACUAUACUAUUAGGAGCACAACAGUCUUUGUGUUCCUAACUUUUUAACCAUCCAUCAAUUUUGAUGGGUGGUUAGGAUGAGAGAGAGAAGAGAAAUUGGUAAGAAAUUAAAUGUCUCAUUUUUUCUACUUUUUAAAUCUCUCUUUAAUUUUUCUUUUCUCUCGUCCUAACCGCCUAGCAAAAUUGAUGAAUGAUUAGGAGGUUAGGAGCACAAGAAUUGUUAUACUUCUAAUAGCACAAUAGCCCUAAUAGUGUAGAUCAAAUCUAACGAAGCCGAUCGUCGAUUUAAAAGUCGCAUUAUUAACAACAACUUGAUAGCACGGAGGCCUCCGUGCUAUUGAUAGUAUUCCAGCCUAGUUCUAUAUAUAAAUAUAUAGAACUAGGCUGGAAUACUAUCAAUAGCACCAAUGACUUGGUGGUAUUAAGUUUUCUGCUCUUGGAUUAAAAGAUGUGUGGUUAGGAUGAUGUGGGCCCCCUAGGGUUGAGUGGGUGGUUAGUUGAAUAGUAUAAUCGAACGGAUGAAAAUAAUAAAAGAGAUAAAUCUAACAGCAGAAAAUAUGAUAAUACCAAAUGCUUCGUGCUAUCGAUAGUAUCCCAGCCGAACUCUAUAUAUAUAUAUAGAUUAUAUAUAUAUAUAGUCAAAAUCUAAUCUGGAUAGAGAUUGACUACUAAAGUAACUAAAUCCAAAUAAAUUUAUUUUAUUUAAUUAAGGCACUUCUUGCCUUCACACAAAAUUCAUCAGUUCAAUAUAUAUUAUAUAUAUAUUAGUAAUAUAAUAAUAAGAAGAUGAAGAAAAAGUAAUGCUACAUGUGUAGCACAUGCUAACUUUAUCCAUCAAGUCAAUUGUCAGAGAUUAAAAAGUCAUGCAUUCUCCAGUAAUUAAAUGAUGCCGUGUGAACAUGUCGACUAAAGAAAACAUACCUAUCAAAAAGAAUAGUAAAAUGUGUUACACAUUGAUAUAUGAACGUGAAAAAGUUAACAACAAUACAUGUAAACAGUAUAAUGGAUAAUGUGACCAUGCAUGUGUCUUAAUGAGUUACCAUACAUAAUGAUGAUAUUUUCAACAUUCAAUUAAUGAGUUAGCAUUCGCAACGUAACAAUUAAAUUAGUUUUAAUUUUUCUAAACUUAGUAACUUGUUGUAUUUGAAGUGGAAAGAGCUAACCGUACUUAAUGCCUUUUGAUUUUUUUUUUUUGUAAUUGAUGUAUCACGUUAAGAAUCUGAUGUUAAGUUUAUCGACAAAAAAUAUUAUAUUUUUUUGGAUAAGAAAUUUGGUGUCUGAAAUUAAGUCGUCUUCCAUCUGAAAAAGAAUAUUUACUAUUAAAAUAAAUUUUGUUCUGAAAAAUUUAACUAUCCAUCUUGUUAAAUGAUAAACUCUAAUUCGUGUUGACACUCAGUUUUUUUUUUUUCUUUUUAUUAAUGAAUUUGACAGUAGAUGAUAAAAUGGGGCAAUUUGACAUCUUUAUAAAGUAUAGGAGGUAACAUUUAUUGUGGCUAAGAUAUACAUUGUUUUAGACUACUUGAAUGAAUUAAUUAAAACUCUUUAUAUCUUAAAUGUGGAUUUAUUAAUAUAGUGUACGGUUUCGGUGUGUACUCAGUGCGUGGCUUAUUAAUCUCACGUACAACUACUAUUAAUUCUGAGUUAGAAUAUUAUUAGUACUUGAUUAGAUGUCAAUUAAUCCACUCAAGAGAUUCAGCUAAGAAUAGGAUAAGAUUUUCUGUAAUCUCCUUUACUAAUUCUGUUGUAGAGCAAUAAAAUAAGAGGGGCGAAGGCCGACCUUAACUGUAGGGAGGUGUCUAGUUAUUUUUUGCUUUUUGUGUGUGUACACGCGCGCGCAUGUGUGUAUCUCUUUCUCGUUGUUAUUGAACCGGGGGGAGAGGGGCGUGUGCUGGAGUGUGUGUGUGCGGAUGUGUGUCUUUCUCGUUCUUAUUGAGGCCAUAGCUGCCUCCAUAUUUUUAUAGCUAAAUUUAUUUUUUUAUUGAAUGAAGCAAAUAACAUGCUAUUCUUUCAAAAAAAAAGGAGAAUAAUAGUAAUAUUAUUUAUACAUUUUUAGACUAAGUAUAAGAUGUACAUCUGGCACAUCUGAAGAUGCUUUUUUUUUUUUUUUUUGUCGUCACNCUAUUAGUUUUCUAAAACUAAAAAAAAAAAAAAAUACAAACUUUAGAAUUAAAAAAUAUACAAUUUUACAUAUAUAUUAUGUUUUAUAAAAUAAUGUAAACUUUGUUCAUUUGAAUGUUACUUGCCAUGAUUUGCAACUUUAUCUAGCUAUCUAUUAUUAUAUGUAUACAUAAAGCAAAACGUGCCCUGAGCAGACACAAUUAUUAAGAAAUAAUUUAAUUUUUAUAUUGGGAUAGUUUCCUGCUGAGCUGUCUCAGUCGGAUGUGAACCGCUCAACAGUGUCCAACUCAAUAAUUGAAAGCCUACACUAGGGAAGACUGCCAAUUGAAUAAGUUUAUUUAAUCAGAGGAUUGAGUAACUUCUAGAACAUACAUGAGAUAGAGAGAGGUAUUUUUUUUUUUAUAAAUGAUACAACCAGUUUUUACGAUUGAAAAAAAAAAUAUUUAAAAAAUAAUUAUAAAAACAGAUCUUUAAUAUGUCAUAUUAAAUUUUUAAAAAGAAUAAAUAAUACGAGCGGUUGAAUGAAUUACCAUAUUUAAAUACGGCGAAUUAUUCAUCGAUUCAUAACUAUUCUUAAAAUCAACAAACUUAUUUAAAAGGUGGUGAACCGAACGUUUAUCCCUUUAUUAUUUUUCCCUUUCUCUUUCUCUCUUCCAUUCUUAUGUUUUUAAAAGCGGUGAAUCAUUUAUCGUUUUUAUAGGCCCGUAAAAAAUUUAACGAAUGCUGUGAACUAUUCACCGUUUUUACGUAUUUUAUUCUCUUCCCACCAUGCUGGCACCCACAUAACAAAACGGAGACUAUAUUUGCAAAUAAAUUUUUUUUCUUUUUUGAGGAAACAGGGGUAUACCCUAUUUGUACAAAGGCAAGAAGAUUACAAAAUUGCCGAGGCGAGAAGAUUACAAGGAGCAACAGGCCAAACAAGCUACAGGCCUAAAAGUAAACACACUUUACAGUAGAAAUGUAGAAAUGUUACUCUCAUACUUCAAUUCACUCCUCUCCCUCCCUCCCCUCCUCCAGUUAGCGCUAAUGUCCACAGAUUUAUCAAGCUAAGAACUCUAUUUGUCGUAUCGUCCAUUCGAGUAGGUCGGUUUUCGAAGAUGCGUCUGUUUCGUUCCUUCCAAAUUUUCAACAUGCUGCGGUAAAACAUAGGUCAAACCAUUUCUUACGCUUCCCUCCGACACUGCGCCUUGCUUGGUCCCAUCGGGUUGGUAGGUCACCUGGGCCAGUAGUUAUCAAAAUUCUGGCAGCUGGAGUUGUUUGUAGUAGUUGAUUCCACACCAUCGCUGCAUAACUGCAAGUGAAUAAAUGUGAUCCAAAUUUUCACUGUUUGUAGAGCAUAGUGCGCAAAUCGACGGACCGUGCCAUCCCUUUUUCACUAACGUGUCAUCCGUCAAAACUCUAUUUCUUGCCGCAAGCCAAAUGAAGAUGUUGACCCUAAGGGGGAUCUUGGUCUUCCAGAGUAGAGUUCUGCAAACAUUAGUUCCAUCAAAGGUAAGGAAAUGGUAGGCACGGCGAACCUGGAACCCCCCAUUGUCGUUCCAACGCCAGACGGUUGUGUCCAGGUUUUGAUCUAAGGCAGUGUUAAGGAUCAGGAAUCUGAGCCGCUGGAGCUCAUCAAGGCGGUCACCCUGAAUCCGUGAAGAGUGGAAGCCCAAAUUUUCAGUCCAAGCAAAGCGGCGUACCCAGUUGAAGACCGAGAGGUGUUUAUGUCGUGCGAUUGUAAAAAAGUUAGGGAAUUGACUCGUAAGAGUGAAUUCGCCGGCCCAUCUAGCAUUCCAAAAAGACGUACCUUUGCCGUUGCCUAACGAAAAGAAAAUGGAUGCAUGGAAGGGAGCAGUGGUGGUGAGGAUUCCUUUCCACAUCGGGCAGCACCUAGUCGACGCGUUGUCAUAGCUAGCCGAUUGCCUGUGCUUGUAGUGUUUUUGCUUCAGGAGUCUGACCCAAGGUAGGUGCGGCGAAUUGUAGAAACUCCAUAGGCCCUUCAUCAAUAGUGCCGAAUUCAUCGCUUGUAUCUUUCGGAUGCCCAGUCCGCCCAAUUCUUUUGGGCGGCAUACCUGAUCCCAAUUUACGAGGCAGUGGAAGCCGUUUAGUAAUUUUUUCCCUCUCUAGAAGAAAUCGCGCCGAUGGGUCUAAUUUUAGAAUAAAAUUUUUGAAGAAGUCUAGUAUACUGAAAUCUCCUAGAGAGAGCGAGAGAGAGAGAGAGAGAGAGAGCAAUACUUUUUUUUUUGAGAGAUAGAUAGCACGUUACCCGCUUCGUUUAUUUCAUUUAGAAAUAAACUCAGCUGGAAAUAUGAGUCAACUAGGAUUUGAACUUAGGUCUCGGGUACCAACCACCGAACCCUUUGCCACUUACUCUAGAAACGGUCGGUAAUAAAGAGCAAUACUAUUUACACAAUCAAUCAGAAGUAUAUAUCUCACUCAUCUAAUAGAGAAACUUUGUUUUACUUGUUACAUGAUGUGACAAAUUAAAAAAAUUCCAUCUAUAGAUGGAUGGGUGUAAAUUAUACACAUCAAAGUGUAAUGUAUGAGUCCUAAGAAGUAGUAGAUGGAUUGAUGGUGGUUUUUCCAGUAUUAUUAUUGAACAAAUCUGCUAGAGGAGGUGGUGAUUGUUUCUUGAGGCCAUUUUGGUUCGAAAAAUAAUAAUAUGAGGAAUGUUUUUUUAAUUCUUCAAAUAGCUUAUUAUUUCUGAAUAGCCAGAAAUAAUAAAAAAAUUACAUUUGAUUUGUAAUACUUUUGCUCUAAUAAAUAAUUAAAAUUAUGUCUAGUUAACUUUAUAGAAUAAUAGAGAAUAGGAAAAAAAAAAAAGUGAUGUUUGAAUUUGAUAUAAAUCUGAUUUAAUAAAAAUAAUUUAUUAUAAUAUAUGAUUUAAUAAAAAUAAUUUAUUUUUUUGGCAAACUCUUCUCUUAAAUUUAAUAAAAAUAAUUUGUUAUAAUAUUUAAGUAUUACUUAAGUACAAAUAACAUGUAUUAAUACCGUACGUACAAGUAAUAUUUUUUUCUCGUAAAAAUAAUUUAUUGUAAUAUAUAACAUAUCUUGCCUAUAUAAUAAUUUAUUUUAAUUCAAUUUAUAAUUUUUAAUAAAGUCGGAAUUAAAUUUUGAAAUAACACUAUUCCACCAAAAUGGUUAAAUAGUUUAUUCUAAACUAUUCGGGAAUAAUAAAAAAUAUUAAGGUUUGAUUGGAAUAUUUUAUUCCGAACCAUUUGGUAAAAAACCGGAGAUAACUUUUGUUAUCUCCAUUUUAUUUCUGAACCAAACGGAGCCUAAGCAUCUAUUAGGUAUCCACAGCCAAAUUGAAUAUGAAAAAAAUAAAAAAUCGAGGAAUAAAUAUUUAGCGGUCAGGAAGUCGCCACAGUUAGGAAGUAAAAUUGCUGAGAUACAAUUGAAUUUUUUGAAUAAAUCCUAAUAUUAGCAGCUAUCAUAUUACUAAUGGCAGAGGUUUACAUUAAAUUUGAUAACUAUACACAGAUUAAGACUUUUUGAAUUUAUUAUAUCUCAUAUACGAGCAAUGCUACUGAUACAUUCCAAAUGAAAUGUAUAUCUUACACUCACUCAAUCCAAAAGCUAUUAAUUCUCUAUCUGUCAAAUUAACUUUUUUUUAAUUUUUUACUAAAAUCUAAUUAAAUUAUUAUCAAUCUUGAAAUUUAGUGUGUGAGAUUUACAAUUUUUUUAGAGUGUACAAAUAAAAUUUCUCCUUCUAUACCAUGUGUCAAUUAUUAAAUCUUUUUCUCCUCAACUACCACUAUUUUGCAGCAUCCUAUUCAAACUUAUUACUGAAGGUUCCAAAUAAACUCCAGAAAUUUCAGCAUCAGUAAAAACACAGAGAGAGAGAGAGAGAGAGAGAGAGAGAGAGAGAGAGAGAGGGCCUUCUUUGUCUCCACAUGAAUACAGGAGUGGCCCAUGCUCUGACACCCUCAGAAAACAGAGGGCUUUUUUGGCGAAUAGCCUCCUAAAAAAAUUUUAUUUUAAAAUUAGCCCCAAUAAAUUUAUAAUUACAAAAAUGGCUCUACUGCUGUCACACAGGCGCCACGCAUGCGCCACGUGGGCGGACUGGGAGGUUGCUUGCCAAGUUGAACACGGUGAAUCAUCCACCGUGUUCAAACACGGUAAAUGAUUCACCGUGUUUCAUAUUAAUAUUCCUUUUCUUCUAUUUUAGGGAUGUCAACGGGUCGGAUUUGGAUUGGGUUUUCAAAAAUCCGAAUCCAAAUCCGAAAACCAAAUUAAAAUUCGAACCCGAAUCUGAAUCCGACGGAUUUUAAAAAUCCAUACCCAUAUCUAUACCCGACCAAAAACCUAAAAUCCGAACCCGGGCCCGACCUGUUGACAUCCCUAAAAGAGAAGAAAAGGAAUAUAAAUAUAAAACACGGUGAAUCACAUGAUGAAUGAUUCACCAUGUUCAAUUUGCCCACCCAGCCCGCCCACGUGGCACUUGCGUGGCAGGAAUAGGGCUAUUUUUGUAAUUAUAAAUUUGUUGGAGCUAGUUUUAAAAUAAAAUUUUUUCAGGAGGUCAUUUACAAAAAAAAACCCAAAUAUGCUACCAUACUCAUUAUAGAAAAAUUGGAUCAUGCUCUGACACCCUCAGAAAACAGAGGGCUUUUUUGGCAAAUGGCCUCUUGAGAAAAUUUUAUUUUAAAACUAGUUUCAAUAAAUUUAUAAUUACAAAAAUGGUCCUACUACUGUCACGCAGGCGCCACGCAUGCGCCACGUGGGCGGGCUGGGAGGUUGCUUGCCAAGUUGAACACGGUGAAUCAUCCACCGUGUUCAAACACGGUAAAUGAUUCACCGUGUUUCAUAUUAAUAUUCCUUUUCUUCUAUUUUAGGGAUGUCAACGGGUCGGAUUUGGAUUGGGUUUUCAAAAAUCCGAAUCCAAAUCCGAAAACCAAAUUAAAAUUCGAACCCGAAUCUGAAUCCGGCGGGUUUUAAAAAUCCAUACCCAUAUCUAUACCCGACCAAAAACCUAAAAUCCGAAUCCGGACCCGACCUGUUGACAUCCCUAAAAGAGAAGAAAAGGAAUAUAAAUAUAAAACACGGUGAAUCACACGAUGAAUGAUUCACCAUGUUCAAUUUGCCCACCCAGCCCGCCCACGUGGUACUUGCGUGGCAGGAAUAGGACUAUUUUUGUAAUUAUAAAUUUGUUGGAGCUAGUUUUAAAAUAAAAUUUUUUCAAGGGGUCAUUUACAAAAAAAAACCCAAAUAUGCUACCAUACUCAUUAUAGAAAAAUUGGAUCAUGCAUCAUUCAUCACCACACCUUGCUUCUAUAUUAGCCACUUUAACUAGUGUAGUAAUUCAUGCGAUACGAUGAGUGGAUAAUUAAAAAUAAUAAUAAUAAAAGAAGAGAAAACAAAGAUAGAAGAAACGACGAUAAUAGAUAAAAUUCAUCUUAUCAAAGAAAGAAGAUAACGGUCGAAGAAAGUNUCUGAAUUUGUGUGGAGAAUUCAGAAGGGAAACAUUUGUUUCAAAAAAAAAAAAAAAAAAAAAUAUGCGAAGGACUGAGAUAGGUUGGGAGGAGCCCACACUCAAUAAUGAUUAAUUCUGUCCAAACAAAAAAAAAGAAAAAAUUAAGUUUGGUUUAAAUAAAAAAAAAUAUGUGGAGAAUUUAAGACGAUUCAGAUAGAGCCCACAUUCAACAUUGAAACGCAUAUUUGUUUAGGAAGCAUAAUGUAUAGGUAUAAAUUUCCUGCCUUUUGUCUGCGCUACCAUCUCUGAUUCUUCUUCACAUCCCAAGCUUUGUCAUUCUUCUCCUCCCCUUGUGUAAUCUUCACCAUCAUCAUUUUUUGGUCUCCUCCAGCUCCCAAAAGCCAAAGUAGCUGAUUUAUUAUUUUGGCUUGCACUUCAAAAGCAGUUACAUUCCAAAUCUGUGGUGCUUAAAAAGGCUCACUCUGCUAAAGCUGUUUGUUACCAACCCAUUUUCUGGGUUUUGUUAUAAAGGUGGGUUUCUCCUCUCUUUUUUAUUUUUAUUUUUUUGCUUUGUGCUCUCUCUCUCUCUCUCUCUCUCUUACAUUCCACUUUGUUGUUCUUUUGAUUUUGUUGCUUCUCUAAUAAGUGCUCUUAGUUUUGCUGUUAGAGAGGAUUGAAGCUAAGGCUCUAAAAUCAACCCAUACAGCUUCCUCUUCCAUGUAAUAAUUAGCACUUUACACUAGUUGGCUUAGUUUUACAUUCCCCCCUCUUUCACAAAUGCCAUGAAUACGCAUAUGGUUUGGCUUCUAUUAUUAUCCCCAUUUAGGACCCAUUGUUAGCUCUUCUGCAAUUUAUGCAACUUUUAGUGGGUAUUUGGUUCCUCGGAAAAGUGCGAAAAAUUAGUUUUAGGGGAAAAAGUUUUUUCAUGAAAAAUUCUUUUCCACUAAACCUUUGAAAUCUUUUUUUUUUCCCCCAGAAAAGUAAUUUUUCUUAGAAAUCAAAUGGACGGAAAAUACUUUUUCAGCCAAAAGAGGGAAAUAUAUAUAUUUUUUGUAUCAUAUGGAAUGAGAGUAAUCUUUUAAAAUAUGUAAUUUGUUGACAUGUUCCUUGCAUUUUCUCUUUAGUUGUUAUUAGAUUGUUUUGUAUAGUAUCUUAGUCUAGUUUUGUAUAAAAUGAACAUUCCCUGUACAAUGAUAUUCAUUCAUCUGUGAAACUUCUAGACCUAAUCUUUCGGUUUUACGCGAGUUCCGGUGUCGAAAUUGGCUUGUAAAGGCGUAUUGAAUACACUAAGAAGAAGAUACGGCGGAGAAUGAGUAGUACGGCCAAAGUGAAGCGCCGUGUGGGGAAGUAUGAGCUAGGGCGGACGAUCGGGGAAGGAACAUUCGCGAAGGUGAAGUUUGCGCGGAACACCGAGACAGGAGAACCUGUUGCUAUCAAGAUCCUUGACAAGGAGAAGGUUCUUAAGCACAAAAUGGUCGAGCAGGUGUUCUUAAUUUCUCCGAACAUAAUGCAUUCCGCGCUUAUAUAUUGCUUAAAUGUUUGGUUGAUCCAAAAUGUUAAAUAUCUAGUAACUUAAGAAGGUAUCAGAGCUGGAGAUUUUGAGUUCCGAUCUUUCUGGGAUCCUACUCUCAUUUAAUUUACUACAAGUUGUUUUUAUAAAAUCCACAAUUAGUCCAAAUGUAGAGGCGACCAUUCUCUACGAGCUUAGGCAUUUAGAUAGAAACAUGAUUUUUCCGAACUGAAAAUUACACACUUGGUCAAAAUUGCACAGCUCGAAAGUUAGUAUUCUUUUCCCCUCUUUUGAAAGUAAUAUCCAGAGGGAAUGGGGCAUUUGGCAGUUCUUGACCAGUUUAUUGAGAUGGAAUCCAAAGUUAUUGAGAUGGAAGAAGAAGAAGAAGAAGAAGAGGAAAGGUUCAUAAAAGGACAAACAGAGAGAUUAGAUCUCCAACAAGUAUAGUUUUUUAAUUAUUAAAAGUUGCUGUUGCUUAUAUGCAAGCUAAACGCAAUCUUGGGUCAGAUUUCGCUGAAAGGUCAAAGCAAACAAGUUGUUUACUUAAUACCUGGAAAAAAAGUGUCACUUUCAUUUCUAAACUAAAUGUUUUUUCAGUUAUUUACUCCACCAUUUCGACUAAUUAUCUUGUUGGUUUCUUUUUCUCUUUUUUUGGCUGUCUAUCGUACAUUACUAUGUUACUAGCUAUUUUUCUAAGAAUUAAUCAAAAGCUCAAUGGAACCACCUUUGCUAAGAUGUCGAUCUAAUUGUUUGUUGCAGAUUAAGCGGGAGAUCGCCACAAUGAAGUUAAUAAAGCAUCCUAACGUCGUUCGCAUAUAUGAGGUAAUCUUCGAGCGCCUAAUUCUUCUUUUCUUUGGGCUUCUCUUCUAGUUCUUGUGUUUUUACUGUUGUAAGUCGGUAGGUAAUUAUCACUUUCCAAGAAGGGUGGAAAGGAGUUGGGGCCCGAAAUUUUUACUUUUUUACCAAAAUAUGCGACGGAUGCCUUUUGUGGUUGUUGUUUCUUGGUGGCUGUUUGUAACGUAUAAACUAUGCUUGCCAAUAUAUGUUCAAUUCUCGACUUUUGAUUUCUUGGUUUUUCCAGACCCACCCUACCCGCCAUUGCUAGUUGGUAGGCACACCAAAAAUGGAGAGUUUGGUGGGUAGCAGAAUUAUAAUUUUGUUUUUGUUUCUUUUUAAUAUGGGUUGUUUUCAGUUCCAUUGCAUCAACUCCAUUAUUUACUAUAAAAACUAGUUCUGGGCCAUAGAUUACAAAAAAAUAUACAUAUCCAUGUACACAUCAUAAUGCUUCACCAAGAAAAAAGGUUUGCAAAAUAAAUUGAAGGCAUGAUUGUAAAGAAUUGAAAUUUGGAUUCUUUCCACUGAGUAUGGUGAACAACUAUGCACUUUAUUGAAUUUGACAAUGCCUAAGACCAUUCCAAGUAUUCCACUAAACAGUAGUAGGUCAUUGACAAAUAAUAUUCAUGAGCGAUGAUUGGUUCAAAGGAUAUAUGUCGGACCCAUAAACUUCUUGUAUAUGUUUCUAUAAUUUAUGUUUUGUGCUUUAGUGUGUUUGAGAUAAGUUAUGUCGAAUACACGACCUUUGAAAUUUUUGGUUUUUACUAAAGUUACAGAAUGUUCUGUUACAUUGCAGAAUAAACUGUAAAAACAAAGAAAUGCUACAAUUACUGUAAGGCUAGGUAGCGGAAUCAAAACUUGUGAAGAUCACAUACCUAUUUCAAAAUGUUUAUGUAUGUUUUUAUAUUUCACUAAUUACUUAUUUUGUAUAUUUUACUAAUACGUAAUUAAAAUAUUACUUUGUAUAACAAUCUGUUUCUUUCUGGUCAUUACUUGUUAUGCCUAAAGUGUACUUUCUGACUGUAAGAGAGCAUGUUUUUUUUUUGUUUUGCUUCAAUUACAUGUUAUGGGUAACAAAACUUUGGUAAAUAUUAGUAAUAUGUCACAUUCUAUUAACUUUCUGCAACGACCCGACCCGCUAGCAACAAUAACUCGUUGGGCCUAACCACCGGCCCAAAAUGCUUAAGCCUAGUUAUUAUUACUAGCGUGUAGGUCUCAUAUAAACUGAUCGGAAUCAGUAUCCCAUCCGAUGUGGGACUAUUGGGGGCGUUACAAACUCCCCCUGUUUAGACCCUGACGUCCUCGUCGGGUCCAAACCAGAUCACAGACAGACAAACCAGGACCAUUACCAGGCGAUGUGAGAUUCUAGAGGUGGCUCCUACGGGUUCAAGAGGUGGCUCCCACCAAACCCGUUGGUGUAGCACUUUGUCCCGCAAAAAUACUUAAGCCCAGUUAUUAUUACUAGCGCAUAGGCCUCAUAUAAACUGAUCGAAAUCAAUAUCCCAUCCGAUGUGGGACUAUUGGGAGCGUUACAAAAGUUAUUGCAACGACCCGACCCGCGAGCAACAAUAACUCGUUGGGCCCAACCACCGACCCAAAAUGCUUAAGCCCAGUUAUUAUUACUAGCGCAUAGGCCUCAUAUAAACUGAUCGAAAUCAAUAUCCCAUCCGAUGUGGGACUAUUGGGAGCGUUACAAACUCCUCCUGUUUAGACCCUGACGUCCUCGUCGGGUCCAAACCAGAUUACAGACAGACAGACCAUUACCAGGCGAUGUGAGAUUCUAGAGGUGGCUCCUACGGGUUCAAGAGGUGGCUCCCACCAAAUCCGUUGGUGUAGCACUUUGCCCCGUAUAGCACUUAGUUCUUACACUUCCGGCUGGUAUUCGGCUCUAAUACCAAUUGCAACGACCCGACCCGCUAGCAACAAUAACUCGUUGGGCCUAACUACCGGCCCAAAAUGCUUAAGCCUAGUUAUUAUUACUAGCGUGUAGGUCUCAUAUAAACUGAUCGGAAUCAGUAUCCCAUCCGAUGUGGGACUAUUGGGGGCGUUACACUUUCCUUUCUUUUUUUUUUUCUUUUUUUUUCUUUUUUUUUUUCUAUUCUAGCGAUAUUGACUGCUGUCUUCUUUUCAAAUAACUUUUUUUUUCACUUGUUUAGGUGAUGGGAAGCAAAACAAAAAUCUUCAUAGUACUUGAAUUCGUCACCGGAGGAGAGCUCUUUGACAAAAUAGUAAGUAGAAUUUAGAAGUUUAAACUUCAAUCUGUGCCUCUUUCGUCGGAUUUAGUUACGAAAAGAGAGCUUUCGACUAUGAAGGUUAAUCAUGGCCGCAUGAGGGAGGAUGAAGCGAGGAGGUACUUCCAGCAGCUAAUUAAUGCCGUUGAUUAUUGCCAUAGCAGGGGCGUCUUCCACCGUGACUUAAAGGUUAAAAUAACUUAAUUUUUGCGCCGCCUAAAUAACACUUGAUUUAUCAAAUUAAUAACAUAAGAUUGAUAAUAAGUUCUGACAUAUGCAGCCGGAAAAUCUACUGCUUGAUGCAUAUGGAAACCUGAAAGUUUCUGAUUUUGGAUUGAGUGCGCUUUCUCAGCAAGUCAGGGUAAGUAUGCAAAGCUUAGCUCGCUUAAGAACUUUGUGUAGAUGUAUACAUUUUGAAGGGCUUUUUUGAUCUAAAUAUUUCCAAGAAUAUAAAGAUAAAAUACUUUUUCCGACUCUGAGAUUUUUGGCAACUGAUUCAUAAUUACAUCGAUAUUGGCUUCAGCAUCUCUGCGAUUAUUAGGUGCAGAUGUCUUAAUGAAGUAUUAAUUGUCUUCGUGCUUUAUAUGCUCUUAUCUAAAACAUAAGAUGCGAGCAAAUUUCUUAGCUGUGGCUAUGGUUCCUCAUAAUAUUGCUUUUUCACCCCCUCCCUUAAAAUCCAUCAUUGAAAGUGUUUAUACUAAUUGUAAAUUCAUGGUUGUUCAUCACAUUCAAAAUUAGUACGCGGGAAACCAUCUUUUAAAUACUUAGUUUCACCGAGUGAAACACAUCAAAGGUACCAGAAUGAGCGUCCGGAUUCUUUCUGCAUUGUUUUCUGCUAUUUCUACGUAUUAUGCAACGUUGCAAAUUCGCUUAUUUAUGCAUAGUAGUUGCUACCACUACUAAAUUAUUUCUAGAUUUUCCUAAGCCUCACUAUCAAAGAUUAAAAAAUCAGUCAGUUCUCAACGAAGCGUAAGAAAUCCAAGUUGCGUCCUGGUCAGAAGCUACGUAAAAUUACCUCCCAUUGCCAAUUCCCGAAAUUGUAAACUCGAGUCCCAAUAGCUGUAAUGGUAAUUUCUGCAGGAUGACGGCCUGCUUCACACGACUUGUGGAACUCCAAAUUACGUUGCUCCAGAGGUGCGGAUUUCUGUUCCGUAACUCAAUUCCCUGCCAGAGCACCCAUUCCGCUCAUUUUUAUAAUAGUUAUAAAAAAAAAAGAAAUUACAAACUAAAUUAAUUUUCUUCUGGCAGGUUCUCGAGGACAGAGGCUACGAUGGUGCAACUGCAGACUUAUGGUCAUGUGGGGUCAUUCUGUUUGUGCUGCUAGCAGGGUACUUGCCUUUUGAGGAUUCUAAUCUUAUGACCUUGUAUAAGAAAGUGAGCAAUUUUACUAUGUUUAGGGGAACCGGCAUGACCUGACAUGCUCAACAUAAUUUAACAAACUUUCUAUUAUGCAGAUUUCACAUGCCGAAUUUACAUCUCCGUCUUGGAUAUCUUUUGGUGCCAGGAAGUUAUUAACAAGAAUCCUCGAUCCAAACCCUGUGACGGUGAGUUCAUGUAGUAAAAUUGCUUCUUUAGACACCACUCCAAAAGUCUUGUGUUUUUCGGGGACAGUAACGAGCGUCGAGUAAUUUCCCUUAUUCUGCCAAACACUACUAAAUUGUAGCUUGGUGUAAUUCAUUGUAAUUGGUUUAUUCUAUGAUAACUCGGAACAACUGUCCUAGUUUUCGAUGUUAUGUUCUAUGAGACUUACCUGUAAUUUAUAUUUGACCUUGAAUUUAUGAUUUCUUGCAGCGAAUAACAGUCCCUGAGAUAUUAGAGGACGAAUGGUUCAAGAAAGGGUAUAAGCCCCCAGUGUUCGAGGAAAAUUACGAUGCGAAUUUGGAUGAUGUGGAUGCUGCGUUCAGGGACUCUGAAGUGAGUCGAAGACGCGCUUCAAUGCCAAUUAUAGUAAAAAGUUUUACAAUGCCUGAUGUAAUCUUCCUCUUGGACUCUUCUAGAGGGUUUCUUACUGUCUGUCUUAUCUGUUGCAGGAACACCAUGUGACAGAGAAAAAGGAAGAACAACCAGCAGCAAUGAAUGCAUUUGAACUUAUUUCAAUGUCAAAAGGACUCAAUCUUGCAAAUUUGUUCGACUCGGAGCAGGUAUAAAGGCAGUAUUAGCAUUCGGCAAAAUCGUUUUAUGUGAUAAUUAAUUGAAGCUUAUGUUCCAAGUCACCAUUUUGUCGAAAUUUUCUUGUGUUUCUUCUUUCUCGGCAAAGUAAUUUUACUUUCAUGAAUGAUAUGUGUUUGUUUUGUUGGUUCUGGAAAAUAGUUUUUUAGAUUUGCACUAGUUUUGUCUUCUUAUCGAUGCCAGGAAUUCAAGAGGGAAACCAGGUUUACAUCCAAAUGUCCGGCAAAAGAAAUCAUUAACAAGAUCGAAGAAGCUGCAAAGCCACUGGGCUUCGACAUCCAAAAGAAAAAUUACAAGGUAGGUCACGCAUAAAAUUAGUAAUCACAACUAUUUCCAUACUGUGAGAUAUAUUACCUCUCUUUUUCCCUUUUUUUUUUAACCCAAAAGCUUACAUGGAUCGACGCUCGACUAAGUGUUUGAGCUUUUCCUUCUCUUGACCAGAUGAAGCUGGAAAAUAUGAAAGCAGGAAGAAAGGGGAAUCUCAAUGUCGCAACAGAGGUCCUGUGGAAUUUCUAUUUAUUCGAAUGCUGCGAUUAGUUAAUUCGAUUGACGCUGACAUUUGUUAACCAAUAUUCUGCAGGUAUUUCAAGUUGCACCCUCUUUGCAUAUGGUUGAAGUUCGGAAAACCAAAGGAGAUACGCUGGAAUUUCACAAGGUAAAUACGGAGUCAAGAAGACGAAUCGAUAUCAUCUACUAUGAGAUUGAUAUUUUACUGUUCGAUUUAUCCUACUAAAUGUAGUUACUAGUGAAUGACUUAAAACCAUCAAACCAGGUAGGAUUUGCAAAAUUAAAAAAAAAAAAUGCUCAGAAUUCAUGAGCCUACCAUUUCUUGUGCUAUGAGUUUGUUUCUAUAAUUUUCGGUGACUUAAUAACCGUAAAUAACCUUCGUUACUGCAGUUCUACAAGAAUCUCUCGAACAGCCUAAAAGAUGUUGUGUGGAUAUCAGAAGACGAUCCGCACGAGCGAACUUCUUAGGAUGACUCGCUCCGUAGUGGACGCCACAAAUCCCUUUUGUGCCAAAAUUAUGUUAAUAUCUUUUCGUCCGCCUUUUUUUCUUUUUUACUAGGAACAGGCUGUUGGUUAGUUGGUUUGCAGUGUAUUGGCCAUAAUGUUUUCUCUGGUGCCGCAUUUUUUCGUUCUAUUGAAGAUUUCUGUUGUAAAUGUAGGACAGAGUAGCAGCUUCUUUUCUCUUUAAUGCUUCCCUGAAACUAGAGGAAGCUGUAGACUUUGCGCUAGUCUGUAUGCUUGUAAAUGUCUCUACUGUAUGAAUAUCUAGUAUGAGGACUCUUUGCAGUAUUUGUUUAUUAGUGGAGCUGCUAUUGUGCUUUUAUGAGGAUGGAAAGUACCAGUCAUGAUUUUUCGGAUCAUCGGCGCUAACCAUUAAUUUUAGAAGUUCGGAUUGUUAGAAAUACGUAAUUAAUUCACUUAGGGGUCAUUUGGUUGCAUGUAGUUGUAACUGCACGGCAGUUGUAACUACAUGCAAGUACAAAUUUGGCGUUUGGUUUGAUGUAUUUAUUUCUGUUGCAAUAGGAACUACAGGAGGAGGUCCAAUUGUAGCAAUUGGAAUUAUGUUCAAAUCGGCCGUAGUUCUAACUGCAGCAGCAAUUGGAGAUAUUAACUUUAAACAAAUGAUAAGCUUACCUCUUUAAUUAUUUUUUAACUAAACAAAAGAUAAGCUUAUCUCAUCAUCAUAUAUAUAAAACAAUAAAAUUUUAAAAAUUAUUUCUCAAUUGCAUUCGAUCAAACAAAUUAUUUAUAAUUAUAAUAUUUUCUACUACAUCCAAUCAAACAGGAUGCAUGUAAUUGCAACUGUUACAUUUACAACUGCAUGCAUCUCCAAUUACACUUCAUUUAUAAUUACAUCUAACCAAACGGGCCCCUUCAAGCAUAUAGAUAUAAUGCUCAUAGAUCUCGAUUAUGACUCGGCUCAAUCAGACUGACGCAACUUCAAACAUGACUCCAUCUAAUCUGAUCUCCUGCCGUAAAGCAAGAUGCUUACCACUUUAAGCCAACAGUAAUACAAAAAUGAGGCAUUUGCUUGUUUCAAAUUUAUAGAAUAAUUCAAAUUAAUUAAAUUUUUAUUACGAAAUUUAAUAUAUAUAUAUAUAUAUAUAUAUAUAUAUAUAUAUAUAUAUAGAGAGAGAGAGAGAGAUGAAGAGAGUGAUUGUGACGAUGAUGGAGGAACAUUGGAGAGAGGAGAGAGAAAAGCUACUUGCUAUCGGAAGCACGGAGCCUCGUGCUUCCAGCUCGUUUUCGAUGUUGCAACUUUCGAAUCGUCGAUCGGCUCCGUUAAACUUGAUUAGAGUAUUUGAAGUAUUUAGAAAAUAAAUUUUAUGAUUUUACGAUAUCAUUUGCCUAGUGAACGAAGGACUCAAAAUCAACGGCUGAAAAAAAAAUCUUACAAAAUGUAAUAAUAUGACAUUAAAAUUUUUAAAUCAAAGAUAUUGAUCUUGUUUUAUAUAGUAUAAAGAAUUUUCUAUCAAAAUUUUACGUGAUUUGGAUUAUUCCUACACCGUUAAACUUGCAAACGGCUCACUACGGCCAUUGAAAUUUAUUGAUUUUGAGCCCAUUCGAUCACUAGGCAAAUAAUAUCGAAAAAUAAUAAAUUUUUUCUUAGUAUCUCAAAUACUCUAGAUCAAGGUUUAACGGAGCGAUCGACGAUUUGAAAAUCGGAACAUCGAAAACGAGCUGGAAGCACGGAAGGCUCCGUGCCUUCGAUAGCAUAGUAGCCUCACUCUUUUCUCUCUUCUUCUCUCUCUCAUCAUAUAUAUAUUAUAUAUAUUAUGAAUUAGGCCGCGAAUACUAUCAAUAGCACCAAGCUAUUGGCUCUAUUAAGUUUCGGCUUUUCGAUAAAGAAAUGUACGAUUAGGAUGAUGUGGGCCCUUAGGGUUGAGUAAGUUAUUGAUUUAAUAGUAUAAUCUAACGAAUAAAAAUAGUUACAGAGUUAAAUCUAACGUUGAAAAUUUGAUAGCAUCAAACGCUUGGUGUUAUCGAUAAUAUCCUAGCCGAACUCAUAUAUAUAUUAUUAUAUAUAUAUAUAUAAUAUAUAUAUAUACAUAUAUAUAUAUAUAUAUAACUAUAUAUAGAUAUAUAUAUUAUAUACACACAUAUAUAUAUAUAUACCAAUAUUAUAUAUAUAUAAUAUAUAUAAUAUUAUACAUAUAUAUAUAUAUAUAAUGAGUAUGGCUAUAUACUUUCCGUUAAAUAUAUAUAGGAGUAUUGAAACUUCUAGAAAAUAAAUUUCGUAAUUUUUUGAAAUCAUAUAAAGUCCAUCAAGUGGCUAUAAAAUGAACGGUCAAAAUCGAACGACGUCCUAAAGAUAGAUGAUCGGAUCCUUCAUUUUAAAAUCGGAGUUAUUAAUUUUUAUCUAGUAGUGAAUAGAAUUUUUUAUUAAAAUUCAACCUAUUCCAAUUCUUCCAUUCUUUUUACACGUUAAAUUAGUAAGUAUUCCAUAUCGACCUAUUAAAAUUGUCAAUUUGUGAACUUUUGAUCGUAUGGUAAAUGAUAUCGAAAAAUUAUAAAAUUUUUGAUUGAAGUUUUAAAUGUUCUAGAUAAUGUUUAACGGUAUGGAUCGUCAAUUCCGAAGCUCUAUCAUUAAAAAUGGCUUAUGAGUAUGAGGGCAAACGUACUCAUAAGAAUAUUGUAGCGGACUCUAUCACUAUACUAUCGAUAGUACAAGCGGUUGUGUACUAUCGAGUUUUCACCGUUGGAUGAAAGGAUUGUGUGUUAGGUGAUAGUGGUUCUCUAGGUUUGAGUGGAUGGUUGGUUGAAUAGUAAACUAACGGUGGAAUAUGAUAAAGGUAGAUCUAACGGUAGAAACUUAAUAGUACAAGAGCCUGAUACUAUCAAUAGUGUAGUAGCUGAACUCUCUCUCUCUCUCUCUCCUCUCUCUCUCUCUCUUUCCUAUAUAUAUGAUUUUUAAUAUGUAGGCCUUUUAUUCUUUUAAGCAUUGUAGACCACCCAAUAAGAAAAAAUAUUUUGAUUUUGUAUUGCGGUGAUUCAACUGUUGGCAUCCGGACGAUCCGCAACCGCGAUGAUGAGAUUGCUCUGAGGCCGUGUGGUGGUGAGGAUGAAUGGCGUAUUCAAGUCGCGAUUAAGAUGAGAAAGUGAUAAGAAUGAGAGAGAGAAGGAAAGAUCAGAUGUAAGAAGAGACAGAGUAGAGAAUAGAAGCAGAGGGAGAUGAAGUGAGAAAGAAAGCAUUAAUUUCAUUUCCUUUUUUAAUUCCUAUUACACGCUACCUCUUAUUUGCAAUCUGAAGAAAACCCUAAACGCUAACUGGACUCUAGACUCCUCUCGGGCCCAACAUAACAUGGGCUUCCCUGCCCGCUUCUUGAGAGUAUCGGAUCGCGACCUCUCGACUGCCCGCAUCCGCCCCAGGCCGCUCCAUCAGAAUAAUCUGGAAGCUGGGUCGCUUCCACCACCUCUUCACUCCUGUCGGAUUGCCCCUUUCCUACUACCUCUUCCUAAGUCCUCCUUCUUCUUCCUACGCCUCUCUCCUACCGCCGAUCCUUGCGAGGCCGGCACACCUCCUGGAACCGGACAGAGAAGAAGAAGUUACGUCCUUCUCCUCUCUUAUUAUUCUGACUAUAUCCUCUACUGUUGCUACUAACUCCUUCUUUCUACUUGGCAGGUGCAACAAUCCCUCUACUUGAGUCGAUCCUUGUCCUCAGGAUCAAAGAUGGAUAUUGGCUUUGAGAAACCUGGAUCCUCCCAUGUUGCGAGUUCUCUGGAAGAUAUGCCCAUUUUACCAAGAUUUCGGUCGUGACUCUGCCUCCGCGCCUCCACACGUCCUCCUCUCUAAUGUUUUCUCUGGUUCGGCUCUCAAUCUUUCUCUUCUCACAGAGGGGCGCUGUCGGAGAUGCCUGAAUGAAGCGGGGGGCUCUUCUUAAGUAAGGAAAUAUAGGAAUACUGGAUGGAUUCUUGACCUCCGGUAACUAUAACUUGUAUGCCACUGGCCCGAUGCGCUCUAGUAUCUUGAAUGGACCCAAAAACGCGCUGAAAGCUUCAGGUUUCUCUCUUAGUGCCACCGUGGUUUGCCUGUAGGGCUGUAGUUUCAGGUAAACCCAGUCCCCCACGAGUACUCUUUCUCCUUCCUGUGUUUGUCCUCUUGCUGUUUCAUUCUGUUUUUGGGCCACAUGUAAUCGAUCUCUUUAGCUCUCGAGUCAGUUGCUCUCUGUCCCUUACCCAUCUUCAGCUCCUGAGAGGUACCGUGUCUACGGCGGCGGCCACCAAUGUUUGGGGUGGUUUCCAUAGAGCGCCUCAUACGGGGUCAUGCUAUUGCCGAGUGAAAACUGGUAUUAUACCACCAUUCUGCCAGAGCUAGCCACGAAUGCCAUUUCUUGGGAUGUUGGAAACACAUGCAUCUUAAAUAUGUCUCUAGACAUCUGUUAACCCUCUCGGUUUGGCCGUCGGUUUCUGGAUGAUACGCGGAACUCAUGUGGAGCUUCGUUCCAUUGCUGAAAAAGCUCCUUCCAAAAUUGAAUCACAAAGAUUUUGUCUCCUGUCGGAAAUUAUUCUUUUUGGGAUCCGUGAAGCCUAUAAUUGGUGUUCAUGAAAGCUUUGCCACAUCUGAAGCCGAAAACGGAUGCUCAAAGAUAUGAAGUGUGCGUAUUUUGUGAGUCGAUCAACCACCACCAUUAUCGUGGUCUCGACCUUGUGAUUUAGGCAAGGCUUCUAUGAAAUCCAGGCUUUAUAUCCUCCAAACCUGGUAAGGAAUUAGUAGGGCUGCAGUAACCAGCAUAUGGGGAUCCAUCCACUUGUUGUGGGCGCAGAUCGUACAGUCUUAACCCAAUCAUCUACUUCCUUCUUUAACCGAGCAAAAAAAAAUGCUGUUUAACCCUUCGGUAAGUAUUUUGUAUGCCCGAGUGGCCUCCAAGGCCUGAAUUGUGCAUCUGAUCUAAAAUCCAUUUUCUUAAAGGCCCGACUCUCCAAUGUAUAACUUGUUCUGGUGCGUAACAAUCCAUGGCCAAAAGAUACUCCCCUUGCGGUGGUGCUGCAGGAUUAAUUCGUUUAUUAUCUUCUCACAAUGUUUAUCUCCCGAAUAACUUUCCACCACCUCUUCUACCCAGGUUGGAAUUGCUGCCGUGAUAGCUAACGAUUCCCCUUCUGUUUCUCCUCUCCUGGAUAGUGCAUCCGCUGCUGCGUUCUCUCUUCCCUUCUUAUACUGUAUAGAGUAAUUAAGCCCCAUCAACUUCAGCAUACCCUUUUGUUGCAUCGGCGUCGAUAUCUUUUGCUCCAGGAGAUGUUUCAAACUUUUGUGAUCUGUUUUUAUCACAAAAAUGUUUGUAUUCAAGUAAUGCCUCCAUUUUUGUACCGCCAUGAGUAUCGCCAAAAAUUCUUUUUCAUACGUCGAUAACCCAAUGUGCUUUCCGCCAAUUGCCUUGCUCAGAUAUGCUAUCGGCCUCCCUUCUUGUGAUAGUACUGCGCCUAUUCCCGUGCCACAUGCAUCCACCUCUACUGUGAAAGGCUUUUCAAAAUCUGGCAUGGCCAAAACCGGAGCACUAACCAUUGCCUCUUUCAACUCCUCGAACGCUGAUUGGGCAUCCUUGCCCCAGUGAAACUGAUCCUUCUUUAACAACUCGGUUAAAGGCUUGCUAAUCGUCCCGUACCCUCUGAUGAACUUCCUAUAGUACCCUGUGAGACCCAAGAACCCACGAAGCUCCUUAACAGAUCUGGGUAUCGGCCACCUCGUCAUUGCUUCAAUCUUUGAAGGGUCCGUAGCGACCCCUUCGGCAGAUAUAAUGUGUCCGAGGUACUCCACCUUAUCUUGCCCAAAGUAGCACUUGCUCCUCUUGGCGUAGAACCUGUGUUUCCUCAACUCAUCUAGUGUGAUGCACAAAUGCCUCACAUGCUCCUCCAACCCUUUGCUAUAGAUUAGUAUAUCAUCAAAGAGUACCAAAAUAAAUUUUCGUAGAUAAGGUUCAAACGUACAGUUCAUGAUUGCUUGAAAGGUUGCGGGAGCAUUGGUGAGACCAAAAGGCAUUACACGAAACUCGUAAUGUCCUUGAUGAGUUCGGAAUGCUGUCUUAGGAAUGUCCGCUGGGUUCAUUCGGAUCUGGUGGUAUCCGGAUCGUAGGUCUAUCUUGGAGAAAUGAGUCGAGCCUCCCAAUUCAUCUAACAAAUUGUCGAUUAGCGGAAUGGGGAAUUUAUCUUUAACAGUGGAUUUAUUCAACUGCCGAUAAUCAAUGCACAUGCGCCAGCUUCCAUCCUUCUUCUUUACCAGCAAGGCCGGCGAGGCGAACGGGCUGUUACUCCUCUGUAUUAUUGAGUUACUCAACAAUUCUCUGAUCUGUUUCUCAAGCUCCUCUUUCUGUUCGUGCGAAUACCUAUAUGGUCUCACAUUAAUCGGGGCGGUAUUAGGUUGAAGCACAAUCGUGUGAUCUUGGACCCUGGUUGGGGGCAUCCCUUUUGGCUCUUCGAAUACAUCGGGGUAUUGAUUCAGCACCUGUUGAAUGUCAGGGUGAAUCACGGAUUCGGCUUUGGGAUCGUCGGAUAUAAUUUGAUGGCUCAGUAAAUAACACUCCCCGGUGCUCAUUUCCUGUUUCCAUUAGGCUGCAGUAAUCAACUUCAGCUUCGCCCCUUCCUCAAUCCCUUUCAACUCCAAUCUCUGCCCGUCCUUCAUGAUGGUAACCGAAUUGGAUAGGAAGUCGAAGGUCACCUUUCCAUAAGACUUAAGCCGGUCAAUUCCCAACACAAUGCUAACUCCUUCAAUCCGAAUCACCCGUAAAUCUGCCACGAAUUCGUGCCCUUGCAUGACCCAUGAAAAUCCCGGACAUUUGAGCUUGCUUAACAUCUUAUGUCCAUCUGCUAUAGUAACCACCAAUGGCGAGGCGGCUUCCAUCUUCGCCCCAAUCCCUUUUGCCACCUGAAGGUCAAUGAAGCUGUGCGUGCUUCCUGUAUCUAUCAACAAGGUCAGUAUUUUAUUCUUCGCUUCCCCUCUGAUCUUAAUAGUGUCCUGCGGUCUUUCUCCACUCAACACAUGUACUGACACGCUGAUUUCUCGCGCCUCCUCGUUGUCAGGUAUAAUUUCAUCCCUUGGCUCUUCCCCUCCUAUAGCUUCUGCACCCACUUCUUCUUGUAAGCAAUCUUCGUCGUAGACUUCAAUAACUUCAUGUGAGGCUUGCAGGGUGUUUAGUGAUUUGCUGUUGCACACGUGCCCUGGGUGAUACCUUUCUCCACACUUGAAGCAAAGCCCUGCUGCCCUUCUUUGCUCUAUUAGCUGCCUACUUAUUGGAUUGUGAUUGAUCUGGUUUCUUUGAGUUGUUUGGUACUGAGGUUUCAAAUUUUCGCCGCUCUUGUUAACCCCAUUUCCUGUGUUGCUUCGAAAUGAUGCUGUUGGGUAUGGGCCCCCCGACCCUUUGGGCAAGUACUUACUUUUCCUACUAAGUGCAGCUAUGGCCUUCUCGUGUACUUACUUUUCCUACUAAGUGCAGCUAUGGCCUUCUCGUGUAGCUGUGCUUGUUCAUACGCCUCCUCCAAUGUAUUCGGAUGUGCAAUAUCCAUGAAAUGAACUAGUUCUUCCUUGAGUCCAUUAAUGUAACACGCGAUAAAAUAUUCUUCGGUUAAGUGUGGGUUAUAAUAAAGCAGUUGGUACCUUUAACUCUUCAAACUUCUCUUGAUACCUUUCGCAUGUUCCGAUGUGUUUCAAAUUAGUGAACUCCCAGAUCAGAUACCUUUCUCCCACUUGUGCAAAUCGCCUACACACUGCUUCAACAAACUCGUCCCAAGAAAGAGUUUGCUUGUUGACGAAAUAGCCCUGCUUCCAUGUUCUUGCCUUGCCUGUUAGAUACAUGGUGGCUACACUCAACCACUGAUGUUGCGGUAUUUGGUAUAAUUCGAAGUAUUGUUCGCAAUUUUCGAUCCAACUUCUGGGAUCCUCUCCAUCAAAGUAAGCAAAAUCCAACCGAGGGUACGGUAAGUGCUGAUGUUGAUUAAAAGUUCGAUUGCUCCAUGGUGAGAUAUGCUCUUCAUCUAUAUCAUGCAUUCUAAACGGAGUGGGUAGAAUACCUUUACCUUUUUCUUCUCUGAUCAGUAACGGUGUGUUACUACUUCCAGGCCUGAAUUUGCGGUCUGAAGGGGGCGCCUCGGCUUGAGUUUUGAGUGUGGGUGACUGGGCGGUUAUAAGUUCCAGUAGCUCCUCAUGCCUCCUGUUUGCCUCGGUUUGUAGUGACUCAAACUGUUUUUGUCCCGUAUCCCUCACUUCGGUUAUUCUUUGGUUAAGUGCUUCUAUGUUGGCUUGAUGUUCCGUUCCCAACUGCUGGUACUUCUCCUCUAAUGUAUGGAUGUGAUCACUAAUAUCCUUUAGUCGGGUCCCUUCGGCCAUAUCUAUAUCCUCCAAAUACUCCCUUGGAUUGAAUUUGAACUUGUUGCUUCGCUUACCCCCAAUCUUGUCGUGUUGCGAGAAUUACUUAUGGUGGGUUCUCUAACAGAAGAGUUGUGAUCCAAUUAAGUUGCCUCGGAUGACUCAAUGCGCCUGUGGUAUGAGUUAAUCUGAGAAGUGAGGGGGUUUUCCUCAGAUCCUAUGGUCAGUCCUGGGCUAUUGUAUGGUGAUUUCCUUUGUCCAACUCUGAUCUCCGUACAGAAUUGGCAGCGCGGAAAUCUUACACGCGAUUAAACUCAACGAUGCUAAGAUCGGAGUCAGGAAGCGAUUCUACCACACAUGGCCCUGGGAUUGGACUGCUCUGAUACCAAUUGUUGCUCACCCGGACGAUCCGCAAACGUCGAUGAUGAGAUUGCUCUGAGGCCGGUAUGGUGGUGAGGAUGAUGGGCGUAUUCAAGUCGCGAUUAAGAUGAGAAAGUGAUAAGAAAUGAGGGAGAGAAAGAAAGAUCAGAUGUAAGAAGAGACAGAGUAGAGAAUAGAAGCAGAGAGAGAUGAAGUUGAGAAAGAAAGCAUUACUUUCAUUUCCUUUUUUUAAUUCCUAUUACACGCUGCCUCUUAUUUGCAAUAUGAAGAAAACCCUAAACCUAAUUGGACUCCUAGGACUCCUCUUGGUGGCCCAAACAUAACAUGGGCCUUCCCUGGCCCGCUUCUUGAGAGGUAUCGGAUCGGACCCUCUCGACUGCCCGCAUCCGCCCCAGGCCGCUCCAUCAGAAUAAUCUGGAAGCUGGGUCGCUUCCCACUACUCUUCACUCCUGUCGGAUUGCCCUCUUUCCUCUACCUCUUCCUAAGUCCUCCCUUCUUCUUCCUACGCCUCUCUCCUACCGCCGAUCCUUGCCGACGCACGGCACACUUCCUGGAACCCGGACAGAGAAGAAGAAGUUACGUCCUUCUCCUCUCUUAUUAUUCUGACUGUAUCCUCUACUGCUGCUACUAACUCCUUCUACUUGGCAGGUGCAACAUCAACAAACACUCUUCUUAUAUGGCUCACAUCCGAUUGACUAGUUUUUUUUUUAGAGAUAGCUAGCACGCUACCUGUUUUGUUUAUUUUAUUUAGAAAUAAACUUACAUGGAAAUGUGAAUUAACUAGGAUUCGAACUUGGGAUCUCGGAUACCAACAACCAAGCCUUUUGCCACUAGUGAUGGCCAAUUUUUGACUUUACAGCAAAAUGCAUGGACACCCCUCAACUAUAGUCCAUUUUGCAAGAAGCCCUUUCAGCUUUCUUUUUCUUUUUUUUAAUUGAGAACUCUCCAUGGUUUCAAUCAAUUGGCUUGGAUAUUUUGUUAAAUUUAACAACUUCAUUAGCCAUUGCUCGUUAAUUGUCAGCGAAAUUCGCACAUUCCUUAGUUGGAAAAUUGCCACAAUCAUGGAAUUUUAGCUUCUUUAAGCAUCCUUUUUUUCCCGGAUAAUCCAUUGCUUAGUUAUUAAUCCUUUUAUUUAAUAAGAAAUAGUACAAACGCUGGGCAUUUAACAUCACAGCAUUCAUUCAGUUGCUUCAGAGUAUGGUGCAUUUCCCGGCGCGGAGGUCGCCGCACUUCAUCGGACAGGAGUUGGGCUUCGCAUUCCGUUCGCGCCUCUUCUCUUCUCUCCUCUUCUGCGUUCGUCUGCGCGGAGAGCACAAAGAUCGAUCAGAUCAGCUGCUUUCUCUGCAUGCGCACGCGCACGCGCGCACACACUGUUGUGCUUCUCAUUGCUGCAGCUCAUUUCACAAACCGGGGCGGGCGCGAAAUGCCGCGAUCAAGUAGCAAGAACACAAAGUUAGCAUCUAUUUCUCAUGCCUUCUUUUUGUGGCCCAAAAACUAAAGAAAAGAAAAACAUGCGCCAUGCUUUUUGCCCCUGAAAUGGUCCACACAAAUCAGGGGAUCGAAAACUAAUGGUUCUGAUAGAAAGCAGUGAAACAGAUCACAAGGCUCUUUUGGUUCACAAAUAUGCUCGGAUUCUCACGAGCCCGAAUCCGAAUCUCCUUCGACGAUCGAUGGAAUCGAUCUCUAUCUGGCGAGAAAUGUGUGAUGGAAAAUCAUGCUAUGAUAGUCAGAGUCAUUUUCUAGAAAGGAAGAUGGAAUCUUGAAUUGUUAGUGACAAAACUGGGAAUAAUCCCGCUUUAAGCAUAAGCAUCCAGCUGAAACUCGGAGUCGUAGACCCAAUCUUGAACCUGAGAAACACAAAAAAAGACGGUACAGUCUCGAGCACUAGCUUUGAGCUUCACAUUCACGCAUCAUGAUUACAUCGAGAUCGACAUCACAGGUUUUAGAAGCAGUUACCAUCCUAACAGACCCCGUCGAUCGCAAGACAUAGAGAUUGUGUUGGCCUAGGACAAAUUUAGCAUGAAGUUUAACACAGAUCAUUUUCAUCGACCAAAUCGGGGUCCUAACAACGGGUUUCACUGUGUCGGUCGGAUGAAUAAUGAAACAAAGACGAAGAAGCGUCUGUAAGGAGAAAACCACCAAUCUAAACCGGCAAGAAGCAGUACAAGACAGUUUAAUAUAGACAGGAAUAAAGUGAAAAGAAAAUAUCUCUAGAGAUGUUUAUGAUCAGUGUAGCUGGAAGAGUUAGUGGAACUCCUUAAAGCCCUCACAUAGGCGAACACUUGUUGCUACCGCGAAUCGCUACAAAUAAAGGCCCUUUAAAAAGAAAAGAAAAGAUUCCAUGAAUAAGCCCCAAAAAUGUUGUUCUUGCUCCAACAGCAAAAAAGUAAGAAAAAAAAAAAAAAAACUACGGCACAAAAAGUAGGAGAUCUGGCGAUUAGCAUUCAACCGACUUUCUAUAAUCUUGGUAAAAUUGGCGAAAAAACACAAGAAUAGACAGACAGACAAAAAAAGGAGCUACAAUUUGAUCUUACUCGAGCAGCAACACAUGUCAAAGCAUAAGAUUGAAGAGUUAGCUACAAACUUAAUUUUCCAAAGUUUUGACCCCAGUUUUAUGUUCAUCCAUCUUUGCGGUCUUAAUUUCAACAGUUAAAUUUGUGAAUUUUGCAAUAACAUCUGAGUCCUUAUGUUAGUCUACUAUUUGAAAAACACCAUUUCCAAAUGGCGGCCAACGAAAAGAGACACAUUUUUUAUGGAGGGCAGACAUCAGGGACUAAAAUUGCUAAAGUCGAAACAUAGAGGACAAUGCUAUGUAAGGUAGAAUUCAGGGACAAAAUUGUUAAAACAGAAACAGCAAUGAAAUGAUUGAAAUUGCGGCCAAACCUCAUAUGCUAAAUUCGUAAUUGGCCAAAGAGAGAAAAUAAGCAGAUAUGUACCAUAAAGUAAGCAGAAGAGUAUCGUAGUCCGGUAUACUAGAAGAAAGCAAAAAGAAGUGACUUGAAACAAAUUUAAAUCCUACUGUUGCAGAAAUUUUGCAAUACUUCUAAAAGGAAUAUGAAUCAAAAUGAGUCACAUACAUAAAAAAUCAAGCCCGAGUUCUCAAGAAAAUGAAAAGCAACAGACCAAGAAAUUACAUGAAAACAAACAAUGCAGAACAAAACACAAGCGACCAAGCCAAGAAAAAUUAGGUCUUGUAAAGCAUCCACGACUAGGGCUAUUCAAAUAACACCUACCUACAACAUACCAACAGGAUGGAAAAUCACAUAGUUCUACUUAUUUAUAACAAAAGAAAGUUCAUAGUAGGAGGGGAAUUCCUCACUUGGCCAUCAUGACCUUGACGAACUCCUCGUAGUUGAUCUGGCCGUCGCCGUCGACGUCAGCCUCACGGAUCAUCUCGUCAACCUCCUCGUCGGUGAGCUUCUCGCCGAGGUUGGUCAUCACAUGGCGAAGCUCGGCGGCAGAGAUGAAGCCAUUCUGGUCCUUGUCGAAGACGCGGAAGGCCUCCUUGAGCUCCUCCUCGGAGUCUGUGUCCUUCAUCUUACGAGCCAUCAGGUUGAGGAACUCGGGGAAGUCGAUCGUGCCGUUCCCGUCAGCAUCCACCUCAUUGAUCAUGUCCUGCAGCUCCGCUUCCGUUGGGUUUUGGCCCAGUGAUCGCAUCACGGUACCCAGCUCCUUGGUCGUUAUGCAACCUGUAGGAAAAUAUUUGUUAAUAAACAGUUUCAGGAUCUGAUGUCAGAUUAAGUGGUAGUCAAUUCGACAAACUAACUUCUAACUCAAAGGUACAGAUCAAGGAAUGCAUAAUUAGCAUGAAAAGUUUCACCAAUUACUUGGGAUCAAGAUAGUGACAGCUAAACUUGGAAAUUGUUACACCAAAUCUUCAGAUCAAUCAAGCUAAAUAAAUAGUUGUCGCUAAAUUUUCCUGAUAGUUUCAGGAAAUAGAGUAUCAAAAGAGGAGUUUAUCUCAUAAAUUACCAUCUCCGCUAAAAUCUUCUGAUUUUCUUCUUUUAUCUUCCUGUUCUCAAAACCGAGUUCAUGAGAAGAAGACUUGAAUUAUUAAAAAAUUAGAAGUUUUUGUUCUGGUGUCAUUGUUAUCCUCAAUUACACUGAGGCCCAAAGGAGUAUAUACUUCUACUAUCUUUAGUUCCGUAACAUUUCAACUAGAAGAAAUAUAUAUAUAUACACCCACCCACACACACACACACACACACAACUUCAAAUAGAGAAAAGAAGCAAAAGAGAGUGAAAUCUUCACUUCUAAUGCAAAUUUGAUUUUGUAAAAUUAAAGGAAAGAAAUAGUGGUUCCUGCUUCAAGCCUAGCAUUACUGGUCGUACAUUAAAUAUAAAAUAAGUAUAAAAAAUAACGAGGAGUAAAAAAAAAUCUAGUAGUUAUUAACUGUCUAUUUGGGCUUCCUUACUUACAAUAUCUUAUCUUAAUAAAAAAGUAUCAACAAGCACAAAAGAAACAGUUUCAAGUUUUAUAUUCAAUUUUUUAAUGCAACGGUUCAAAAUUUUAUAAAUGUCAACGAAAUAUGUGAACUUACUAUGAUUUAAUGUACCAUUUCUACUUACAGUCAUAAUCUCUGCUACAACUGAAAAAUGCAGACGCUGUGUGACCUUCACAUGAAUUAAAUCACUACAAUCACCUUAUAUGCUGAUCAACCAAGGCUCGUUGACUGAUCGAACCAACUCGAUUGAACAGUUUUCUCAAGAAAGAGCUCUCAAGUUAAACUACAAAUUGACUGUUGACAUUCGAGGUUCCAGGACAGAGAAAAAAGCACCCAAAUUAAGGUUUUAAGUGCCCGUCGGUACGGAUCGUAUCUACUGUGUCAUACCGUGCUGACAAAAUAUCAACACGAUAUAACCUCUGUUCUGACGGUAUGGCUCAACAUCCUCUUUUUAUAGAAAUUAGCAAGUAGUUAUCUCAAUAAAGUGCAAACAAUUGAUAAAGAUAUGUAACAAGCAAUUAGAAUAUAUGGGCGCCAAAUAUUUUAUGUCAUUACGUGUUCGCAUGCAGGUAUUUUUAUGACAAGCACACAUUGGCACAACAUGGCACGCACCGUAUCAUACUACCAUGCCAACAAAUUUUCAACACGACCCCAUGCCAUGGCAAUUAAAUCCAUGAGCCAAAUCCUAGGACUCUCAUUCCUAGUUGAUCUUCUAUUACUUUUUCUAUUUUUUUAUAAUAUUAGGGUUCCAAUGAGGUCUAUAUAAAAAAGAAAGAAGAGAAAAGGAAAAGUGAAAUUAUUUUCUUAUAUUUGGUACUAUUUUUGUGAGGAAGAAUAGGAAGAACAAGGAAACACAAGUAGAGAAAAUGAUCUCAACUUUUAAAUCCCCAAAAGGGGCAGAGAGAUAAACAAGUAAAUUUGAUUCUGCUAUUUUCUUAUUUCCAUAACACUUAAUCCUUAAUAAAGAAAAUGCAAAAUUACAAAAGAGUAGCACAUUCAAAUCUAUCUUCCUCCCAUUUAUAUUCCCUUCAAGGAUGCUUUGAGGGUCAAAAGUUUGUUGUAAAGAUAGCUCUAGAUAACACUUAAAAAGGAAAAAAUAUAGUUGGUGUACCAUUCUUUUCUCUUAUGCUUAUGCCAAAAGAGAGAGGAAUCCUUUAUUUAAUUAUUUAUUUAUUAAUUUAUUUUGGUUCUCUUCUUCUCCAAGUUUCCAGAAAAAGAAUCAAAAUUUUGGACGAUUAAAUGAGAUUCCCUCACCCCCUUUUAGUAACACCCCAUGAUAUUUACAUUGCUUGGAAAUUUCCAUAUAAAUCCUGACAUUUAAUGGUUUUUUUUUUUGCGGAAAAAUCCCUAAGUUUUCAUCUUUUCAUGUAAGUUCUUGAAUUUAAAGAUUUUCUUCUAAAGAAGUCCCUGCUGAGCAUCAUUUGUGGAAUUUCGAAAUAUUCUAGCAGUAGUCUUAUUCUUACCAAUGAUAUGGCUUUAGCCAUUGAAUUUAAUAUGUAUAUGAAGUUUAGAAUAAUAAGAUUAUUAUGCAAAGAGGAGGAAAUUAUAGCAAAGAGAUGCGUAUAUGACGUUGGCAAGGAUAAAUCUGCAAAAAAGGGAAUUAAAGGUAAAUGAAUUGAUAAUAUAUUCUUAGAUUCAUCAAAGAUGCUUGGUAGGGACUUUUACGAAAGAAAUAUAAGAACUUGAGGACUUAUAUUGGAAGAUGGGAAAAAAGCAAUCAGGGUCUUUCAAAGUUUCUAAAAAGUAAAGAACCAAUAUAUAAAAUUAUCCUUAAAUUAUCAAUAUAGUUGCCAGAUAGUGAGCAAAUUUUAGCUUAAUAUACCGUAGAAGAUACGAUUCUUUAACAAAUAGGACAGAAAAGCAUCACGAACCCUCAAACAAGUGGAGUGCAUGAUGUUGAGAGAUCAAACGUAGACAAAAAAACUUGAAAUAGAAACAGACCCCACCGAGGAAAAAGAAAGUUUUUUUUUUGGGUUAAAUAUCAUCAGAAUACAUGUAUUCAACUCAAUUUGUAGGAUAAAGGCUGCUAGUCUCCAUUCAAGUUGGUAUCCAGUGCUGCUACUUGCCAAAAAUACAAGAAAACUUAAGAAGCAAGAAUUGGGAGAACCUGUUGCAUGCACCCAGCGCACUGUACACUCUAGAGACCUCAAAAUCAGAAUUUAAUUUAUAAUAUAUGUGUGUUAUGACAUUCAAAAGAUCUCCAUAUCAAAAUCCAUAAAUUUCAUACUUCUAUUUUCAAUGAAUUUUGAUGGUCCUCUCCACACUAUUGACUUUUUUGCAAGUCCUUAUGAUUCUUUAAACAUUGGCCUUUUAGAUUUUGUAAAUCACAUCUAUCAGAUCAUGGAGAGCCUCUUGACUAUAGGCCCUUUUUUUUUUUGUUUUAAUUGAGACCUCCUUUGCGUUUGAUUUUUUUUUUAGAAAUGAAUCAAAGAAGUUACUUUUUCAGUUGAAAAUUUUGUUAAAAUUUUCAGUAUUGCUCUAUCAGUAUUUACAGUCGUUAAAUUUGACAAUGAUGAAUUUAAUGAAAUUUCCUCUUUUUCAUACAAAAUCUCACUAAGAAAAAAAAAAAAAAAGUCGGCGCGGUCAUUUCGUACAUUUAUAUCUCUUCAUUAUAAAACAAUAAUCAUAUCUAACACUGAGAAGUACAGCGCACGAUUUGCACCAAUAAACUCCUCCAACAGCAGAUACUGAUCAGCCCUAAACCACUCGAUCCGCAUCAAAAACACGAGAUCGAACGCCUAAAUCCUCAGUAAACCCUAACAAAAUCCAAAAAACCAAGAAAAAACUAGAUGCGAUCUAAAUCCAAAUGAACCGCAACGAGCCCCAACAACAGCGAUCGCAAUCAGAUCGUUCGUGGAGCGUAAGAUCGGGCGAAUCGGAGCUCGAUCGAGAGAGAGAGAGAGAGAGAGAGAGAGAGAGGAGGGGGGAUCUGACCAUCGCCAUCCUUGUCGAACAAGCUGAAGGCCUCCUUGAACUCGGAGAUCUGGUCGUCCGUGAGCUGAUCCGCCAUGAUCGCCGCCUCCUCGAGGAAGAAGAGCUGAUCGUAGGGAGAGAGAGAAGGUGAAGGUGAAGGAGAAGGAUAUAGAGAGAGAGAGAGAGAGAGAGAGAGAAGGGUUUUUGAGUUUUGGCCUCGUUUGUUGUGUUGAGGAGAUGAGAGUUAAUGGUGCGAUUUUAUAGAGAGAGGCUGCGAAGAGGAGAGGGACCGUCGGGCUUUUUUAUAAAAUGACCCUCAGAAAUUUGAUUUUGGUAAAAUAAUACUACCAAAAUUUUAUUUGUAAAAUUAAUCUUUCUUUCGCCACAUGAACGUCAUAUCAGAAAUUUUUUAAAAAGACGGUGAAUCAUUCACCGUCUUUAUUAUAUUUAUUAUGAAGGCGAUGAAUAGUUUACCGCUUUCAUAAGGCGGUGACUCGAGGGCACAGAAACGACGGACUUGAAAGGGCGGAAAGGAAGGCGAUGAACCAUUCACCGCUUUUACAACAAAUAUUACACAGACGGUAAACGAUUCACCGUCUUUUUGAGGAAUCCUGACGUGGCGCCCACGUGGCAAAAGAAGGAUUAGUUUUACAAAUAAAAUUUUGGCAAAGUCAUUUUGCCAAUUUUGAAUUUCUGGAGGGUGAUUUUAUAAAAAAAAAAAAAAAAGUCCGAAAAGUCUUAGAAACAUCUCAUACUUUUUUUUUCUUUUUAUUUUUCUUUCUUUGAAUUCUUUAUCCAGGUGUAAUGAGCUGCUAGUGGUCCCCAAAUACUAAACAUCAAAAUAUAAAUAAAAGUUAAUUUCACUACAUAUAUUAUUUCAAAAGUUAUAAUUCGUUUACAUAUGUUCCUGUCAUUUAAUUCACUGUUAUCUUUUUUAAUAAUAAGUACACAAAAAAAUAAUUUUGUGAUUAUAAAUUUGUUCCUACAAAAUGUCUCGUCUGUGUCACAGUACGUGCGGCGUAUCUUAUUUUUUCCACGAACGAGGUCUCACCUUCGACGUCGCCACUGUAAGUUUUACAGUCGCCAUGAAUAAAAAGGAGACAGUAAGAAAAACGACGGAACUCAACAUUUGAAUAUAAAUUAUAUAUAUAUAUAAGGGAUACAAAAGUCAUUUUACUUCUGCUAACUGUGAUUAGCUUUUUUAACUCAUAAUUAUAUAAAUUUUGGUACCAGAAGAAUAUAUUUACAUAUGAGAAAAUUUUAGAGGAAUAAAUUUAAUAACUUAAAUUUUAUAGAGAUAUAUUUGCUAUUUAAUAUUUUUAUCCCUUAUUUGAAUUCUUUAUCCACGUGUAUCGGGUAGCUAUUGGUUAUCCAAAUACUAAAUAUAAAAAAAAUAAAAUAAAAAUAGAAAAAACUCUUUUUUAUACAUAUUUCGCUAGUUUUGCCAUUUUGCAAGUUUGAUUUAUUUUUUAAAAUUUUGUAGAUCUAUUCUAUUUUCUUAAAAAUUUAAUCAAGUUGUCUGUCUGCUCAUAUAUAACUUUGGCCAAUUUGUAUAAAAAAUCCACUAGUUUUGAGAUUUUACAAAAGGGGCCAUGUUUUUCAAUUUUGCAAAUUCGGGCUGAAUUUUCAGAACACUAACCAAAAUACCCUUAUUCUCUUUUGUCUCUCUUCUUUUUUCGUUUUUUUCUUUUCUCUCCGACCCUCCUCCACCACCUCCGCCACCUUUCUCGACGGCAACAGGGCUGCUCGCCUUCUCUUCCUCCACUUCUUUCUUUUACGUUCUUUUUUUCACUCCGACUCUACUCCGUCACCUCUGCGGUCUUUGCAAUGGUAACAACGGCGGCGCCGCCUCCUCUUCGAUGCCGGUGCCGGAAGAGAAGAAUUCAAAGUGAGUGCAGACGAGAGCGGAACGAACGGAGGCGAUGAAGCCGUACGUGGCCGAGAUAGUGCUCGCUAUUGCUCGUGAGGGUAAGAAUGAAAACAUGUCCGUGUUUCUCCAAAGAGCGCUUCUAGCAAGGGCGGUGGCUGCGAUAGAGGGCGAGGGAGAGGCUGUGAUAAUAAAAAUAGUUGUAGAGGGAAAAAAAAAAUUAGAAUGAUAAAAGAUAAAAAUAAAUUUUUUUUUUUUUUCCUACUGGAAAGACCAAAAAUCAUAGAAGAAGAAAGAAGAAGAUGAAAUUGCACAGUUAAAAUAAAAUUACAUUAUUUUAAAAAAAAAUUGCACUGUUUUAUAUAAUAGUUGUACUCUUUGAGACAAAAUUAAUACUAUUUGAGAUAAGAGUUACACUCUUUAGACAAAAAUUGCACUCUUUGAGUAAAAUUUACACAAUUUCUUUUUCUCUUCCUCUUCUUCCUUCUCUUCCUUCCCCUCCGCUUUCUCGUACUUUUUAUACGUCCAUUCUGGGCCGACGACGUGCACAGUGAAGGCGGAGAAGAGCACAGUGACGUCAAAGAAUAGAGCGGCGAAGACAGAGGUGGCGGUGGCCUGCAAUGCCUUCGCCCCGUAAGAGGUGCGCGGGCGGUGGGUGCGCAGACAUGGGCAAGGACUCCCCGCCUUGUCUCUCUCUUGCAAGGGGUGCACGGGAAAGAGCACGGCACACGUCCCGCCGGCACUUCUUACCCUCGCCCGCGCACCUCCCGCUUCGCUUCCGCCCCUAUUGACUCGUGAAGGCGAGGUAGUGGCGAAGCGGUGGAGUGUGGAGGCGAGGUGGUGGCAUUGAUGGGGACAGAAGUGAGGAGGGGAGUCCUCGCCCGUAGCUGCACACCCCCUGCAGGAUGGAGCCGAGGCGGGCCGCCGCCACUACCUCUGCCUCCGCCAACCUCUUCUCUAGUGUCAUCGUGCUCUUCUCCGCCUCCACCGCGCACGUUACCAACCCAGGAUUGGCAUAUAAAAAGUACAAGAAAGCAGAUGGGAAGGAGGAUGAGAAAGAAGAGGAAAAGAAAGAAAAUUAAUGUAAAUUUUAUCAAAAGAGUAUAAUUUUUGCCUAAAGAGUGUAACUCUCAUAUCAAAGAAUAUAAUUUUUGUCUCAAAAAGUGCAACUUUUAUAUAAAACAGUGCAAAAUUUUUUUAAAAUAAUGUAACUUUAUUUUAAUAGUGUAAUUUCAUCUUUUUCUUCCUUCUUAUAUAAUUUUUAGUUUUUCUUAUAAAUAAAAUAUUUUUUUAUUUUUAUCUUUAAUUAUUAUGAUUUUUCUCUUCUCUAUAAUUUUUUUUGUUGUCACAACCUCUCCCUCGCCCUCUAUGGCAGUCACUGCCCUUGCUCGAAGCGCUUUUUAGAGAAGCGUGGGCACAUUUUCAUUCUCACCCUCACGAGCAACGGCCACGACUUCAUCGCCUCUGUUCGUUCCGCUCUUAUCCAUACUCGCUUUGAAUCCUUCUCCUCCGGCACUGGUAUCAGAAGAGGAGGCGGCGCUGUCGUCGUUACCUUCGCAGAAGACUGCGAAGACAAUGGAGGGAAGUUGGAGAGAAAAAAAAAAUUAAAAAAAAAGCAGAGGAAGAGAAGGCGGGCCGCCUUGCUGCUGUCGAAAAAGGUCGCGGAGAUAAUGGAGGAGGGUCGGAGAGAAAAAAGAGCGUAAAAAAAAAGAGAGAUAAAAGAGAAUAAGGGUAUUUUAGUCAGUGUUUUGAAAAUUCAGAUUGAAUCUGUAAAAUCCAAAAUAGUAGCCUAGUUUUGCAAAAGCUGAAACUCGUAGAUUUUUUAUACAAAUUGGCCAAAAACUUUUUUUGUAUAGUGUAUUUUUAGUUUUCAAAAAAAAAAUAACUAACAAUAAAAGUGGCCCGUUGCCCUUUUUUCAGAAUAUGUACGAAUUGCUAGUUCUAAUGUAAAUUCUAUAUUUUUGUUGGCGUUCAAAGUAACUUUGGUACAACUACAAUUUUAUUCUUAUCACUAAAAAAAUUAACUAGGUUGUCUCUCACAAGUCCGCGGGCAUGACCUCCAUAAUAUUUUUUUCGAUUAAUCCACGACACAAAGUACAAGGAGUAGAUUGUGUAAUGUAUAGAACUUCGACUAAAUUGAUAGAGUACCGAUUAAAUCAUGCUAGAUAAGAUUAAAAUAGGUUUUGCAAAGCUUUAGCUAAGUUUGGGCCGAAUUGCAAUCAAUUUGGAUCGAAACAGAAUCACAUAAAAAGUGAAACCUGAGUUCCAGACUUUUUAGACGUGCGGAACAAGGAUUCGGGCACCCAAAAUGGUUUCAGACGGUCCAAACGAGCGCCCAAAGUAAGCGGAUGCUUUUUCAGAGAGUGCUAUUAGCGAAAAGGCCAGCAUUCAAGAAUCCAGAUUGCCCUGUUGGCGCUUGAAAAGAUUUGGAUGCCUCUUGAGGGCGUCCAAACCCCUUUCGGAUGCUUUACUCAAGAGCUUGGGUGGUGAAAGAAUAAACAUUCGUGCGACCAAAUAUCCUUAAGGGCGCCUCGAACAUCUUCCAAAUGGCUUUCACAGGCGUCUGAAUGUCUUUCGGAUAUUCAACCUGACAGGAGGGAUCGCACAACUCAUUAAAUAAACAGGCGCCCAAUUUUUCCUGCGGGCACCCAAAAUGUGUUACGAGCAAUUUGGGCAAGUGUCUAGAUCACUGAUCGGACACUGGUACAUAGCCUUCAAGUGCCCGAAAGUUCGGACGAGCACCCAAAAGUUUGGGCGGGUGCCCGAAACCUAGCACAGAGGCAGCAGUUUGUUUAUUUGUAAGUACAAACAGUUGGGGGUUUUAAGUGCAAUUGUAGCACUUCUAUAAAAAAGCCAUUUACAAUCAAACCCGAAUCUUCUCUCCUAUUUCCCACUUUCACCCUCUCUUUAUCUUCUCUCUCUCUAGAAAGAGAGAAGCCCUAGUUUUCCUAUUGGUGGGAUCUUGGAUAUCCAUCUCUUUGGAAGCUUGGAAGAGAAUUAGAGCACCAAGAGGAGGCUCUAGGCUAGGCACAUGUCUGGUUACAUCAGAAUUUCGGUUUGUCAUAUUAAGUUUUAAUCAUAGAGUAGAUCAAGAGAUCUUAAUUAGUUCAAGAUAAUGUAUUCUAAACAUUAAAUCUGCCCAACUUAGAUUAUUUUAACAUAGUAAUACGAGAAUGAUCCGCCAAUACUAAUUGAUUUUUAUUUUUGGUUUUUAUAUUUGAUAUGGUUUGGCUUCUGAAAAUAUUUAAAAAGUGCAAUAUUAUUUUUCCAUUGUGUUUUUUUUUUUUUUGGUGCUAGUUUGCUUGAAAACAAAAAACCGUCGAUUAAGUUGUUUGAUCAAUUUAUGUUUUUCGAAUUUUCCAAAAACGAUCUAUAAAUCGUNGCCCUACCAUUCCUUGUGUACCAUAGCCUACUCCGAAGAGCCUCCUUGGUUUGACCUGCAUCUCAUUUCAUCGGUACGCAAUGAUGCCACAACCGACUCUGUCUCGAUAGUUUUCACGUGGCUCAAGUUCACAAUCAAAUUGUAUUAAGAUUCCAGUAUUAAGCAAAAUAAAAUACUAGCCUUCUCUUCUUCAUUAAUCUUUAGAUCAAGGGCUGCAAGCUUGCUCACAAUGAAGUUGAAGAAACUCAACUAUUUAUGUACUAAUGCCUCACCCUUCAUCGAUCCUUCGAUUAUAUAAUUUUCAUCUUGGGGAAAUCUUAUCACAAAUGACUUUUCUUCAUUGAGCCUUUUCAACCUCUCCCAAACCCUUUUUGUGAUAGUUUCGAUCUCCACAUUGAACAGCAAUGAAUUAUCUAGUGCUAGAAACAUAUUUGUCAAAGCUAUUUUGUCAUUCUCUUCAAAUUGUUUAUUCUUCAUCCCUUCUGGCUUGCUCUUUUUUCCUUGCAAGACAAUCUCACAACCAUCCUUCACCAGCACUACUUACAUCUUCAAUUCCACAGUGUAAAGAUCGUCCCAUUGAAAUCAGAGAUCUCAAACCUAGUCGCAUCUUUUUCCGCUAUCAUUUCACCAUCAAUUUCAAACUACUAAGAAUUAAUGCUCUGAUACCAACUGAUAGAAUCAGAUAGAGAGGUUACAAAGCACACCUCAAACUCUCACGAUAUAUGAGCGCAGUGAGAAGCUAGAUCUUAUGUAGAGAAACUUAACGAGAACAAUCAGAAAAACAAGUUAGAGAAUAAUAAAAAAAUAAAGAGAACAAGAACAUAAAUAUUUACGUAGUUCGACCAACGAUAUGUCGACUUAACAGAAAAGACCUCUAAUUCAUAGUACAAAAAAUAAGAGUAGAUCGGAUGUAAAAAUAAUCUCUCAAGGCUCUCUUAUAUUUUUCUCUCAACUAGAUUAUAAUGAAGCUCUAAAUCUAGAUCCUCUCAAAAAGUUCUCUAUAUAUAGCCCCAAAAACCCCUAAUUAAAGCAGAUUUGGACAACUGAACCCGACCAAUCAGAUCCCUAAAUCCGACCUAACAGAUUAUAUGCCAAAACCACCCAAGCGAUUCGAUCGGUCAGGAAUUAAUAUUCGACCGAUCGGAUCACCCAUCCAACUGAUCGAGUAAUUCCGGCAAAUUACUUGUCCGAUUCCGGCCAGUCGGAUCCCCCAUCUGACCUACCAAUUUGAGAAUCCGGUUCUAACUGAUUGGUUCUAUAAUCUAGCCAAUCAGGUUGUCCUACAGGCCAUCCCAAGUUCCGGAACACGCAUCCAAUAACCCAAAUCUGCAACGCUCCACAGGAGAGUCGACUUGAACAUCGCUUCCUCAAAAUCAAACAUAGGUAAUAAUUAAAAGGAUAAUUGCCUAUAUACCCCUCAAAACUUCAGAAAUAUCUCAUUUAUCCCUACCUUUUUUUUUCUUUCCAAUAUACGCCUCAUAUGUUCCUCCGUUAUUCCAAAAUAUCCCUAUAGUUACCACCCGUUAAGUUAACUCGGAUUAAACGUGAGUUAAAUAUCGAUCACAAUUAAAAAAAAUUUAAAAUACUAAUAUUUUCCUUAACUUAAGGGCAAAUAAAAAAUAUUGGUGACGGUAGAGAUAUUUGAAAAGACCAAAAGUCAAAAUACUUUUUGUGCCCCUAACUUAAGAGCAAAUAAGAAAAGUCGGUGAUGGUAGAAGGAUAUAUUUGAAAGGGCAAAUAGUAAUUUUAUACAGAUAAUAGAGUUCAUUAACAGAUUUUAACUCUAGGGGUAUAUUUGAAAUAGGUUGGAACGUAAAAAGGAUAUUUUCAAUAUAAGCCUUCUGUUGGAAGCCGAAUUUUCCGACCCUUGACCCGGUCAAAUAUCUUUCUCGGGGAGCGCGUCGGGGUGAGGAACGGCUGCGAACGAUGACCCUCGAAGUGUGCGCCCUUCGACAAAUCAAGCGAUUCGGCUGAUGAGGGAUCGGAUUAGCCGAGUUCAAAAACUCUGCAGUAAACUCGGUUCGGCUGGAUGAGCUGAAUGUACAGACUGCACAGAAACUAGGGUCGGCUGAAGGGCCAAAUGGAAGAAGUACACAAUGACUGGUCGGCUAAAAGAGCCGAAUGAAAGAAGUACACAAUGACUGGUCGGCUUAAAGAGCCGAAUGGAAGAAGUACACAAUGACUAGUCGGCUGAAAGAGCCGAAUGCCUUUAUAUAAUAAUAAAAAAGAGUGUGCCCGAAGGGCAUAUAGACUCAGAAAUAUAGUUUACAAUAGAGUGAUGCCCGUAGGCAGACAGACUUUGCAAAUGUAGUCUACAACGGAGUGAUGCCCGUGGGGCAGACAGACUCCAAGGUUCUACUUAGCGAACAACUCCUAGCAAAGCAGUAAAUGUGGAAAAGAAAAAGUUAUAUUUAGACUACUCCUAAAAAAGCGAUAAAAUGUAGAGAAAAUAAGGGUGGUCUUCUCGUUGAGGAUGGAGAAAGACUCUUAUUACAGGCUUUGAAGUCAUUAUUUGUAGUGACAUCAACCCACAUUAUUCGUUGGUUGGAGGAGUGGUUGUAACCAUGAUCGUGAAAGUUACAUCCCACUUCUCAUGGAAGUUAUGCCCCACUUCACAUGGAAGUUACGCUCCACUUCUCAACCGUUCCCGCCUAAACGCUCUUGGCCUUCAGGCGCCUUAUUGCCGACUCCUGGUGUAUCACGUGUCCUUAUUACUUCGGCUCAUACGUGGGCUAGGUCGGCGUGUUCAUUUCAAAUUUGGCAUCAACACCUUCUAAGAGGGAUAAAUCAGAAAGUCGAAAACUUUUCAGGGGUAUAUAAGCAAUUGCUCCAUAAUUAAAAUAAUUAGGUAAAAACAUGAGGUAAACUUUAAUUUGUCCCCCUGCAGUUUAGUGCAUUUUUACUUUGCCACUCUAUGAUUCAAAUAAUUGCACUUAACUAUUCUAUAAUUUUAUUUUUAUUUUACCAAAAAUUUUGCCAUCUAAUAGGGUAGCAAACUGAAAUUUUUAGAAACCAUGCACGAGAUGGUACCAAUUUAACGAUAAAUCCUUAUAGUAAAAUACAAAUAAAAUUACAGUAUAGUUAAGUAUAACUUUUUGAACCACUCGAUUUUGAAAUGAAAAUACGCUAAACGGCAGUGGGGUAUAUUGAAGUUUAACCAAAAUUAUAUAUAUACUUGGAGGAUGUGUCUCAAAAUAGCCUUUAUUUUAGGGGUCUCCAUACAUUUUUCCAUAAAUACUUUUUUUUUUGGGUGCGUUCCACAAAAUUACUAUAGUACUAGUAUAGGAGUUGUAUUUUGCUGCGGAUAAAUAAAAUUUUGAUUAAUUAAUAUAUAAUUAUUAAAAAUUAAAAAUUAAAAAUCUAAUACAUGUUCCAUUCAGAAAAAAUAUUAAUAUUGUUCCGCUUAAUAUCAUAACAUUUACCAACUCAAUAUUAAGAGUUUACACUUCAAAAAAAAAAUAAUUUUGGCUAUAAAAUUAAAUAACUAUAUUUCAUUAAAAAUUCUGCAUAAACUACACAUUAGUAAUCAAUUACAUGGUAGUUAAACAAAUAAUAGUUAAAUAUUAUAGCGAAAAGGAUCUCUCAAGUCUAAUAAAAAUUCGCAUUUCAUCAACAUUUGGAUAAUAAAUACAAAGGUAAGCAUGAGGUAGUUCAACUCUUAUUCUCUAUAAAUCUUUUUUUAUACAAAUCAAUAUAAAAUAAAUAUACUAACAAUUAGAUAUUUAUAGAUUUAGAAAAUAAUUAACUGUUUGAAUCAAAAAUAUAGAUUAAAAAAAGAUUAAAUUACAGAAAACAUCCCUGUCAAAAUUCGAUUUUUCACUUUCCUCCUCUGUCAUUUAAAAACCUACACUUUGCCCCCUUGUAAAAUGAAAAAUAUUCACAGCGGGGUACGGUGUGAACUAUGAUGAUAAAAUGACCAUUUUCUCCCUUACCAUUUUGCCCCUCAUCAUUUUUACAGGAGAGAAAGCUGAGAGUAUUUUUUGUAUAAAAAAAUAUAUAAUAAUAUUUUAUAAACGAAACCCUAACGGAUUACUAACGGCAGGGGUGAAGUGAACAUUUUUCAUUUUACAAGAGGAAAAAGUGUAGGUGUUUAAAUGACAUAGGGGUAAAAGUGAAAAAUCGGGUUUAGACAGGAGUGUUUUAUGUAAUUUAGCCUUAAAAAAAAUAGGCUAAUAAUCUGAAGCAUUUUUGUUGGACAUUUUGCCAUGAACUGAAAAACAAAAAAAACAAAAAAUUAGAUUAUAAAUACUUUAUCUGCUAUAAAAAAAAAAAAAGCAUAUAACAUUAAGGAAAAAAAAAAUCUUAUUCUCAAAAAUAUUUUAUUAUUAAUCAUUUCCAUCACUUCUUUCAUUUUAUAGCAGAUAAAGUAUUUAUAAUCUAAUCUUUUGACUCUGAUCUAUCCUUUUUAUUCUGCACGAAAGGUGAUAAUACUUAGUAGAUAUAUUUAAACCAUUUUCUCAUUCUCUAUUCACGGUUACAUUCAUGGGGGCUGCAUCGACCACACCGACGGGUGCUUGUGCUGCAGCAACGGUCUUUUGUUGAGGCACGAUUGCAAGUUGGAUGACGCCAUGGAGCGCAUCGAGACCACCUUGUUGCAGCUAUGUUGCUCCGGCAACAUAGGUGAGGCACGUUGAGGGUUUCCGGUUAAUUAAGGCAGCAAAUAUUGAGUUUAUAAAGCUCGCGAGGCGAACAUCCAUGGAAUGAGGGGGGCCUUUGAUGUCUAGAAUUCUCCGACCUGUAGAACAGGAUGGCAGUGCGGUGGUUGUAGAUUGGGUCAGCCAUGAUCAACACUUUGAAUCGAUCGGAACUGGGAGGAGCACAACAGCUAACUUGAGGAGAAGGAGGAAGAGAACUUGAGCAAAGCUUUUGAAAUGGCUUUCUUUAAGCUCCAAAAACUCAUUAAUUAUUCUGUGUGGCAUAGAAUAUUAUUGCCUUACCGAGAAUCAUUAUUGCCUAUAAGAAGAUGUAAAAUGUUAUUGCUUAAGAGAGAGUUAUAUAAAGAGAAAAAUUAUUACCUCUUGGUAAGGUGAAGAAGUUUUUUGGAAAGGUAAAAAGGCUCCUUGGGAAGGUGCAUGAGAAGAAUUAUUACCUUUGGAAAGAUAAAAAGGCCUUUUGGAAAGAUAAGAAGAAUUAUUAUAUAUUGAAAAGAUGAAAAAGCCUCUUGAGAAGAUGAAAAGGCAAAAGAGAUAGUUAAGAAAGAGAGAGGCUUAAGAGAGGAAUAAAAUUAAGCAAGAGCUCGACACGUAAGCUCUCAAAAAUCAUCAAAUUAUAUAUUUGUAUGGAUGAGUCUUAUCCUCCUUUAAAGCAUAACUAGUUAAGUCACCCGCGCGUUGCGGCGGGUCGAUCCUGCGAAAGAAAAUUAAUAAAUACAUAUUUAAAAAAAUCAGAUAAGAACUAAAAGUAUAUUUAUAAUUAAUUUUCGUCAAAUAUAAAAUUAAUUUAAGCUAUAUCAAAUUUUUUAUUUUUUAAUGUAUAAUUUAUAUGUAAAUGCUCAAUAUUAUUAUAAAAUUAAUAUUUAUAUCUAAUACCAGUAGUCUAAAUUAUUUAAUAUUUAUUUAUAUAUUUUAUAUUUUAUAAAAAUAAAUGGUAAAUUAUAUAAUAAAUUAUUAUAUAAUAAUAUAUCUAUAUACAAAUAAAAUACUAUAUAUAUAUAAUAAAUAANNNNNNNNNNNNNNNNNNNNNNNNNAAGAAGAGAUUUGAUUAAAAAAUAUGCGGUUAGGAUGAUGCAGGUCCAUAGGUGAGUGGGUGUUGUUAAAUAGUAAUAUCUAAUGGUUGAAAAUGAUCCGUAGAGUAAAUCUAACGGUAAAAAACUUAAAAGCACCAAGUGCUUGGUGCUUUUACAAGCACAUAGCUGGACUAUAUAUAUAUAUAAUAGAGAGAGAGAGAGAAGGAGAGAGAGGAGAGAGAGAGUUGAGUUAGAAUAUCUCAAUAAGUACCAAGGGGUGGUGUUUUUGAGUUUUUAGCCCUGGGAUGGAGAGAUGUUAUGGUUGAGAUGAUGGUGGUAGGUGGUAGUUGGAAUAGUGUUUGAUCUAAAGGCUAUUAGUAAUUAAGGAGUGGAUCCAAGGGUUAAAAACUUAGAAGCAUUAAGGGUUGGUGUCUUCUAAAAAUAUUCUAGCUCAAUUAUAUAUAUAAUAUAUAUAUAUAUAUAUUGAAAUGAUUCGGUAUUUUUUAAAAAAAAAAUAAAAAGAUCUUAACUGUUGAUUAAUAGAGGGUGAAAAUGUAACUUUAAUACUUAGCAGCUAGCAGGUAAAAGGAUUAUUUUAUUCAAGGUUAGUUUGGUAAUUAAAUAAUACAAUAUUUAAAGAAACUUUUAAUGUCCUAAGUUUAUGCAUUAAUUAGCACUAAUUUAGGAAAUUAAUUGAUUAACCAAAUUUAUGCAAUUAUUAGGCAUUAAUUUAGGAAUCUACUUUAUAUAUUUUAGUGUUUAUCAAAUAUGCAUUAAUUUAAAUUAUAAAAAUUUUAGAAAUAGUUUAAUUUCUAAAUACGAUGAUUUAAAUUUUAAAAAUUAAAUACUUAAAAUUUAAAGUGAAAUUAAAUUAGAGGAAUUCAUAUUACUAUUUAAAAACUAAAUUUCUACCAAGAUUUAAAAUACAGUUUAUUUGCACCAGUUUAAAACGUAAUGCAUAAAAAACUUAGAGAGUAAGAUUUCUACAACUAGGAUUUUUCUAGGAAAUUUCAUAUUACUAUUUAAAUUUUAAAUUCAAUGAUUUAAAAAUUAGAUUGAACCGAUUGAUUUGACUGAUCAGACUUUGACCUAUUCUAUCAAAAUAUGAUUUUAACCUAUUGAACUGAAUAACAUUAAGAACAAUUGGAACCGGUAAAGAUAAUAAAUAUUUUAAACAGAAUGAUAAUUUAACUGUUAGAGCUAAUAAAUAUUUGAAAUAUAAUUUUAAUACAUAUAAAUUAAAAGAUAGAAAUAUUAUUGGUGAGAAAAAAAAUAGUUAGAAUUGAAUUCGAAUCUGACUAACAAUCGCAAACUUAUUUCCGAACUCGACGGAUUUCAAAAAUGCAUAUCCAAAUUCAAAACUGCCAAUUUUUCGAAACCCAAAACCAACCUAAACCAGAAGACUAGAAUUCAAAAAUUAUUUCUCUUUACCAUAUUUCAAAGUAUUUAUAUGAAACUUAAAAUUUUAAAUAUAAAUUUGAAUAUAAUAUUAAAUUUUAAAUUUAAAGUGAAAUUUAAAUUAGAGGAAUUUUGUAUUAUUAUUUAAAGUUUAAAUUAAAUGAUUAUAUUGUCAAAUCAUUUGAAAAUUUUCUUAUAUGAAAUGCUAAAUUAUGAAAGGAAAGAUAGAGAAGAGAAAAGGAAACAAAGAAAAAAUAAAAUUUUUGAAAAUAUAGUAGAUGUAAAAUGACUAAAUUGCCAUGUAUUUAAAAGACAAAAUAUCAUUUUUUGAGGUACCUGGUAAUCGGUACCUCUCCCAAAGUGACCUGCUAUUGUAGGUCAUAAUUUUAAAAAAACUAAAUCUGAGCCGUUGAAUACGCGUGAAUGAAACGGUAACAAAAAAAAAGUAUAGAAGCAUUACUCUAUAUAUAAUAUAUAGAGAGAGAGAGAGAGAGAGAGAGAACGAAGAGAGAGUAGGAUGUGUGCUAUUACAAGCACGAAAUUAUUUUCGUGCUCCUAAGUCAUUUUCAAUGAUUAAACUUUUGAAUUGAAUUCAGUUCUGUUAUGUUUGAUUUGUUCAGCAUAUUAAAGCAUCUAAAAAAUAAGUUUUAUGUUUUUUGAUAUUAUUUAAUGACCAAAAGGGUUCAAAUUAAUAAUUUAUAUAAUAGUGAUGUGUGUCGUUUGCAAGUUAAUGGUUUAGAAGUAUUCAAAUCAGAUUAAUUUUUGAUAGAAAAUUUUUUUAUACUAUGCAAGAAUUAAUAUUUAUGAUAAAAAAUUUAGUGUUAUAUUAUACCUUUUUGUGAGAUUUUUUAUUUUAUCGUUGAUUUUGAGUUUUUCGAUUAUUAGGCAAAUAAUAUCUAAAAGACAUAACAUUUAUUUUCUAGAUGCUUAAAUAUGCUAAUAUCAAGAUUUAACGAACUCGAUCGCCGAUUCAAAAGUUUUAUUAUCGAAACAGUUUAAGAGUACGGAGUCCUGCGUGUUCCAAAUAGUAUGUCUUUCUCUCCUCUCUCUCUCUCUCUCUCUCUCUCUCUCUCUAUAUAUAUUAUAUAUAUAUAGAGAGAGAGAGAGAGAGAGAGAGAGAGAGCUAGGCUACUAUACUAUCUAUAGUACGAGUUUCGGUACUAUACUGUUGGUUUUCGAUCUUAGGGUGUUCAAAUCAACGAUCCACACGUUAAAACUGAUCUAGGGUAUUUAAAGUUUCUAGAAAUAAAAUUUUAUAUUUUUUCGACAUAGUUUACUUUAUGAUCAAACUAUUUCAAAAUUGUCAAUUAUCAAAGGCUAUGUAUGACGAUUUGGAGUUUAAGCGGUGUAGAAGAAUCUAAAUUUCUUCAAAUUUUGAUAGAAAAUAUUAAACUAUAUAGAUUAAGGUUAACAUUCUUGAUCUGAAUUUAAAGUCCUAUACUCAAAUUUUAAAGAUUAUUCAAUUUCCACCGUCCAUUUUGAUAUAAUUUAUUUACUAAGUAAACGAUAUCGGAAAAAACUAAAAUUUUUAUUCCUAAGAAAUUCAUAUACCCUAGAUCAUAUUUAACGGUGUGGAUCGUUGAUUUGAACGUCCUAAGAUCGAAAACAAACACUAUAGUACCGGAGCUCGGUACUAUAGAUAGUAUAGUAGCCUAAUUCUAUAUAUAUAUAUAUAUAUAUAUAUAUAUAUAUAUAUAUAUAUAGAGUUGAGUUAUGAUACUUUUACAAGUAUCACCAUCAUGGUACUAUUAGGUUUUAAGUCAUUGGAUUUACUUUUUGAUUAUUAAUAGCCCUUGGAUUAAACACUAUUCCACCUACCACACCUACCACCACCUACCACCAUAAUCUCAACCUCACAUCUCUCCAUCCAAGGGCUAAAACACACAAGUAUCACCCCCAUGAUACUUUUACAAGUAUUCUAGCCCUAC
rnacentral:lncRNA from 1 species